AGCCCUGCCAGCUCACUCUCCGAGACACGAAGCAAGGCACCCCUGUUUGUUGUUGAUGUAUGCUAAUGCGCCACAUCCAUCUGUUCGUUUGCUUAAUUUGGAUUUUGCUUGUUUGUAGCGAUGUUCCUGCCCCUCCUACUCCACCAUCUCCUCCCCUUGUCCCCCCCAUCCACACCUCCUGCAUCUCCUGUUCCUCCUCCCUCUACCUCCUCUCAAUCUCUUCCCUGCUGCUCAGACAUCAGGCACUUGUCUGCAUGGAUCGCAGCCAGCUCUCGUGCGGUCAGGGUGGGGGGAAAAGGAGGGUCCGCCGCCCCCUUCCUGUGGGUAUGCAAAUUGGCCUUGUUUUGAUUAAAAGACAGCUGCAUAUUUCAUUGAAGUCACCGGUGGAGGUGGGUGAGGAGAAGUCAUUCCUCUCUCGGGAGGCUGAGAUAUUUUAGCUGGAGUGAAUGUUGUGGGAGCUGCUGUUUAGUGCUGCUAAGGGGAACAAAUAGCGAAGACAAAAGGGCUGCCCAGGGACUGCUUUGGGGUUUAAUGGGGCUGACUGACUGGCACAUCAGUUAAGGCUCACACUGAUGCAGAGCGUGUGAAUGUGCGUUGCAUGAUAACAGGAGCAAUUGACAAUGAAAUAUAGACCCCCAUGAGCCUUCAAGGUGCUUUGGCAUGCCAACAGUGUUGGAUUGCUACCCUCCAGUGCCAGGCUGCUGAAGAAACAGAGCUCACCACUCCAUAUAUGGAUAAUAAAAAGAUGUUUGUCUCCGUAUGUGACCAUCUUUUAUUUUAUGUGUAGUUCCCAUGAGGACUGGGUCCAUCACCCCCUCAACAGAUCUCUACAGUUGAGAUAAAUUUAAGAUUACACCAAGGCCAGCUCUGUUCUAGCAUGUCAGUGUUGGCUGCCGGCUGAAUGCUCAAGUGAAUAAACUGAUGAAUGGAUUAUGUUUCCUUAGUGUUAUUUGUGACGAGCAAGAAGACUAUCUUUCUCCUUCCAUGUCAUUCUCUUUCCUUUACUGGUUGAGGGCAACAGUUACCCCACCAGAGGUAGAUUAGGGUGAUGUAUUGGUGGGUGGGCACGCUAUGAGGUCAAGGGGUGGGGAUAAGAAAGAUGGGGGAGGAUCUCCUGGCUUCAAGCCAACUCCAGUGAAAUUCAAAGACAUGGAAAAGGAUGGGAGGAUGGAAUGAUGGUCGCUCUGCAUAAUCAAUCAGAAACAAGAGAGGAAGAGAGCCAGUGAUUCUGCCUUUCUUGACAGGCCUGAUUGUAUUUAUGCAGGGCUGAGAGCGAGGAGGGAAUGCUAUUAAGGAGAAUUGGGGUAGUAAGAUGUGGGCAGGUGCAGGGAGAGCUGUAAUGGGUGGCCCCCGCUGCAAAGCCAAGGACAUAUACCCAAGAGGAACUGAUUGAAUGCCAUGCCAAUAAAAGGAGGCAGUUUCAUGCACCAUUGACCGAGUUGGCAUCCUAGCAGCCACACUGCAAUGAAACCUCCUUCGAGGUCAUGAUAAUGUGAAUCACAUUUCGUUCCUCUGUGGGCUGUCCUCCUCCUGAGAGAGAAUUAAAUGUAAACUUCUCUCCGGAUUUUUCUCCUCUGUUUCUGUUACAGUUUGUGGCACACAUUUGAUGUUAUGCCAAUAUGAGGAGAUACAAAUCAGAUUGUUUGUUUGGGCAGAAAUGAAAAAAUGAAGUUCCAAUUCACAAUAGGUGGGGAAAAUAAUCAGAUUUAAGCCUGCAGUGCGCGUACAGCCGGGGGAGAUUGUCCUUUCAUUUUCUCAUACGUGGGGCAGCGCGCUCCUGAGGUUGUCUUGUUUCUUCUCAGUCAUGAACUUUUUUCUGUCAUAAUUACAUUCAGCCUGGAAGCCUGUAUGCCUCGAAGACAAAUAUAGUAUAUUGACAAGAGAAAAACAGUCAAACGCUGUUGAGCUGGUUUAUUUUAAGCUUCUGGAGUAUAUCUCAACAUUGAAAAAUGUGUGGAGGUAGCUUCAUAUUUAUUAAAGGACCAGACCUUUGUAUAUUAUAAGCUGCUUUUUCACAUUCCUUUGCUGCAGUCAGUGUUUUGCCAACUGAUGACCCAAAAUGUAUGAAAUUGUAUCUUGUGAUUUAAAUUUUAAGGUGAUUACUUGUAUCAUCAUUUGAGCUAAUUUCUUUUCCUUCAAAAUAGGGCUGUACGACACUGAAAAGAUAUAGAAGCGUAGAGACAAGAGAAGUAGAGAAAACAGAUGGAGCAACACUUAACUGCAUAAACAAAUGCAGUUGACUUACUACACAUUGUAAGUUAACUAUAGCUAUAUAGCUAUCCUAGCUAUAUCGAGGAGUUAACCUUGAUAACGAUAAAUGGACGAUAACUACUCCACAAGCUGCUCACCCCCUCCUACAUUAACUUUGUCUAGGGACAUGAGACCAUAGCCUACCUACACACAUCCAAAACCAACUUUUAUUUUCUGUUUUGACACUGAAUAUAUUGACUUGGGCAAAAUGACGUUGGUUAUUGUCAUAAAUUUGGGUUUAUCGCCCAGCCCUAAACUGACAUACAAAUGCAGACACUCAAGCACACAUGUAACCCUGUGCAGGCAGGAAGAACCUGCAUUGAAGUGAUUUCAGGUAGAUGUUAUUGCACAUUGAUCCUGGAAAAUAAUAUUUGUGAUCAGUAUGCAUUUCUGUAAUCUGUCUAACCCUCUGCACUUAAAAAAUAAUAAACUAAGUAAAAAUUUUUAGUCUGCGUUCUUGAAAUGAACCAGACAGAAUCCAAAAUAGAAGACAGAGGUCAGUGAAUGAGAGCGGUAUAAACAAAUAAUGUGCUUUGUUAGAGGAAGUGGAAUGAGGCAAUAUGCUGCUAGCAAGGACAUGGCAGUAAAAACAUGUUUUUGAGAAGAUUACGCCAUAAAGGAUUUUUAUGUCCUGUGUGUGUUGUCUGAGCAAAUACCUGCACCCCUGGGACAGAGAGGAGUAAUUGAAUGGCCAUUAAAGUAUUGUUGGACCUAUAAAUCAACAUUUUCAAUUGAACAUUAAAUUUUUUUGUUGAACUUGUAUCGUUGACAAUUGCUAGUUUGAUUUAACUGUUUUUUUGUUUCAGUUUUAUUUCAGUAGCAGUGGAUAUUGUAAAUUUAGGACUAUACUAUACAGAUGAAUACUGACUGUGAGAAUUGACUGUUGAGGCUGGCAUUAGUAUGGCAGAAGCAUAUUCAGCAGCUGUACAGGAUAUUUUAUUUUAUUUGUUGGGUAGUAUGAACUGCACCGAAGAGAUUUCACUUAAAAUUAGUGACUGUGAUUAAAAUUGGCCAAAGUAAACACGAAAAUCUGCACAAUAGCCAAUUCUAAGAUAAGGUAAAGAGAGGGAACAGAUAGUGUGUGCAGAGGAAGCAUGUCAUUUGCAUCUCUGCUGCUGAUGCUGCACUACUGCCUCCUGCUGUUUGUCCACAGUAGUGACAUUUGAAGCCUCUGCCAGCAUCUGCAGAGAAGCUAAUUUCCCACCAUCAGUCCCUAACAUUAAUGCAUAUACUGAUCCACGAGCCCUCUGGAGCCCUCUCCACUCCAUCCACCUCUCCUCCUCCUCCUCUGCCCGCCUCUUACUCAUGUUAUCAAUUCACUGUUUUCUCUAGGAAAAUAUAAGUUAAGCCCACCUUAUUUACAUUUAUAUGAUCAGAUUUUCUUCCUUAUGGAAGGUAUGCAAAUUUGCCCUUUUCUUGGGUCUUAGCCACUGAGUGUGUAGAUUUGUUGCCAGGGAUAGGGAGAAAAAAAUAAUAACAUUGCCCUCCAGGAGGAAAGAGACCCAAGUUAGGAUUUCUGGACCUCAUGAAUUUUGAAAUGAUCAAUUUUGUUUACCUUAGCCUCUCCAAGACUUACCAGGACAUUUUGAGCUGGGGAUAUAUAAGAUGAGAUUGAUUUACAUCAGACAUGUCUAUAUCUUUUCCCUUUUUUUCUCAGCGUAUAGACCCGGGGUUGCUGCCCCUGCAGUGCUCAGAAUAUCAUUUUUCAUUUUAUUCAUCUGACGGCCUUAAAAGUCUUCCCUGGGCUUGUGUGUUUGUCAGAUGUGUGGAGGUAGUUUUGCGGGGUGCGCUCAGGCACCGGUCACGUCUCAAAUCCUCUGUGUGUAGGAGCAGAGGGGGAAUGAAAGGCAAAUCUGAGGGCUGGCUGGAUGAAUGCAGUCUGCUUGAGCUUGUUUGAAAAAAGAAAAACAACCCUGUGUUGUUAGUUUGUGUGUGAGAGUGAGAGACAGAGAAUGUGUAUGUAGGUGAGGGCUUUACUCAAGUGAAACUCCUGAACCCAUUGUGAAUCGAAUGGUGGGGUAUUGCACUGCUUUUGGUGUGUGUGCACGCUUGCUAGAGGGGGUGUGUGUGUCCGGUGGACGGCAGAGAGGCACAAGCACUCGAGCAAAUUGCUUUCUGCCAGCAUAUUGCCAGCGCCAGUCUUUAUUCCCUGGGAUGGGAAGGCACGUCUCAGACGAUUACAGCCCCCCGAUUCAGGCUCACAGUGCUGCCCUGCCCGGCUCAACCUAUAGCCUUUACUCCACAAUACAACUCCUCUAUACCAAGCUAUACCCUGCUUGAUGAAAUGCUGAUGUGGAAUAUUUAACUGACACUCCAAGCGAAACCUAAUAAUAUAAUCAGGUAAUAAGAAAUUAAUUUUCUCCCUGGCUGCACUUUGACUGGGGUGUUGAUUCAGGGCAGCGAGGAGAAAUCAUGAGACAAACGCUGGCGAGGGAAUAUCAUAGGUAGUGUCUCUCUCUCUCUUUCUCUCUCUCUCUCUUUCUCUCUCUCUCUGUGCAUCAACAUUUCUUAUGACACACUCCGCUGAUUCGAUAGCCACCCCCACGCUCUCAUUCACACACCCCGUGCUCCUGUGCACAUACAAAUUUGCAGAGACCUGCGCAACAACAAGGAUGCCUCCCUCUCUCUACGCCGCUGAACUGUAAAUGACCAAAGCUAGAAGACGACUCUUGACAUUCACGCACAGACUCGCUCUUACAAACACACAAAUACACACACACACACACUGUCGCUGUCAGGAAAAGAACUCCAUGUCCCCUGCAGGCUAACAUUGUGAGUGUCGGUGCUGGCGUGGCGUUGACCUGCGGCACAGACAGAUGCGUGUGUUCACGAUUCUUCAUGUUAGAAAGUGGGGAGCGUCUUGCUGUUUUCCUGCUGACCCACUAGAUGUAAUUCAGUUCGGCUUGUCCCCUCUCUCUAUCUCCCUCUAUCUUUCCUCUUUGGGCCUCUCAACUCUCACCGCCGGUCCUCAUGCAGUUAAUUAGAAGUCAGGAGUCCAUUGGUGUCAGUGCUUUGGUGGUUUAUUUGCGCCCCCAUUCCCUCAUGCCCCCACCAGCCCAAAACGGAGUCAUCAACAACCCUACCCCCAUGAUGCACACACACAUAACACACACAAACUAUGUGCCAGGGUUUCCACAGCCCUGCCUGCUUCUGCCUGGCAUAGCCAUCCAUCUUUCUGUGCAACCCCCCCCUCCCGCCCCCCAUCUCCACACUUCCUCCUCUGCCUCAAACCACUACCCACCCGACCGCUGCUCUCUCCUCCUCUUCCAUCACCCCCCCCAAAACCCUCCCCUCCUCUCCAUCCCCUGCCAUCGCCUCUCUACCUGAGAGCAUUUGUCAUCCCGUCGCUCUGUGAGCCGCAGCCAACGUGAUGAAAAAAGAAAGGAGGAGAAAAAAAAAGAGAGAGAAAAUCUCGGCGGCAAUAUGCAAAAAUGCAAAAAGGUAGAUGCUGGUUGCCCUGACAACGGCUCUGAGGUUAUUUCCAAGCGCUGAUGGAAAUCAAUGUCAUGUGCUAGCCAGGCAGGCACCUCAGUCCUCAGGAAAAUUAGAAAAAGAGAAGGGGGGUUGAGGGAGAAGGAGGGAGGACUAGAAGGACAAAGAAAAAACGCAGAGAGCAGAAAUCAGGUUUUACUCCUCUCUGAACCUUGAAGGGUCCUGACUUUUCUUCAAAAGAGCUCGAGGCAUGCCGCCGUUGUCGUUCGGGCAUCACUUUGGGUCCUUUCAUGUUGCUUCCUUUGCUUUUGUUUUGUUUCCCCCACUUUGCACAAUUUUACUCUGUCACCAGUCUGCUCCACACUUGAGCUGUCAAGGUGCCUUAUUAUUCUAACGAGACAGAUUUUGGUGCUGGAAAAUGAAAUGGUGUUUGUGUUUGAUGUGGACUGGCAACCGAUUUACCUACAUAUAAUCCCAACCAGCAACAACAGCAAUGAUGCACGUGAAUAGGCAUUCCAAUAAGUAACAUUUGGUGUCAGACAGAUUAAGCUAUUCUAGGUGAAACCGGGUCCAACAAACUUUCAGAGCCUUCCUCCUCAGUCUACUUUGUAGGGCUGCACGAUUUUGGCCAAAAAUAAAAUCCAGAUUUUUUUCUCUGAAAACUUGAUUUUGAUUUUUUAUCCAGUGACAACUUCACCAAACUUCACUUUAAUAAUAAGUUUUCUAUCAUCUCUCAAAACGAAACCACUGAAAACAAAGUAGUGUAUAUGCCAAGACAGUAAGUGGCGCUGUAACGCUGCCAAGGAAAUGCACAAAAGACAGAAGAAGAGUACGGGGCAUGUGUAUAAAGUUUGUUUUAGCCAGACAUCCGCAGGCGCCAUACAAGAGUUACCCUGUGUGUAACAUGGUCAUCUUGAGAGAUUCAGAUAUACGUCCACACAGGGAUGAAAUUUAUUCACUUUCUGGCCUGUUUUUAAAAAGUACCGUUUACAGUCAUCCAAAAUGCCGUUUCCGUGUGGAUGAAAAGCCGAUACGACAAAAACUUUAGCUUUUACUCCUGAAUUGGUUUCCAUGUGGACAGGUUAAUGCUGCCCUCAGACAGACUUUGCAGCUGGGAGUGGUUGGCUCUUCAUCCGAAACUGCGAAGCCGUAUCAAUUCCACACGACUGACUUACUCUCUCCCUAUUCAGCCACAAAAUUAUCGCCUUCUUUCGCAAAUGCCAUGUUUGUUUGCACUGGUGCGUAUGGGACCUGGGUAUUGCUCCCGUUGGAAAGGGGAGCCUACGGUGGCCUUGAGGCGCAAGACAUGAUAGAGAAGAAAAUCAAUUUGAUGAUUUGAAUUUUUUGAACAUCGUCAUAAUUGAUUACAAUUUAAAGUCGAUUAAUUGUGCAGCCCUACUACAUCAAUAUAGUUUAACAUUUUUAAAGAUUAUUAUUAUUGCAUGCUUUUAAUUGUAAAGACCAGUUAGGCUUGAACCCAGGCAGCUGUGAUAAGGACUCAGUCUUCAUGGUAUGUGCUCUAGCCCCCAGCGUGACCCUGCAUCAAUAAUUUUAAGUGAAACUAAAUUUAAUUUCGUUUGCUUUUGCAGUCAGACCAGAUAAACGUUAGACUUGCCUCUCAGGCUGUGUGCAGUCAAACGUUUCAGAUUUCAUUAUUUCCAUAUGAUACUGUAGGCAGUAAAACUUAACAUUUUGUUAGUUCUUAUGUGAUCUUAUGUGCUCUUCACCAUAGGUGUUCUGCUCAUAAGGUGGCAGCUGGAAAGGUGGAGCAGAUACACCGGAUUUAAUCAGAGGUUGCACUGAUUUGGUUUCUCGAGCCUCACUUGGACACGGUGUACAAAAACAGAUGCUGUAUAGUGAAUACUCAGCGCCACAAAUCUACCCACAUUAUUGGAUGAAGUCUGUUAUAAUUUCAGGUAUAUUAAGUCCAUGAAUACAUUUUCCAAUACAAUACAUUCAGAUGUUAGCAGGAAUGCAACAUUAUGCAAAUCUGCAUUUAUAUAUACUGGGUGCUGUCAAUCUUAAUAGGAUCCUGACACAGUCUGGACAUUCUGGGCAGAAGAAUUGUUCGGUGAAUUUGUAAGCUGAAAGAAUCAACAUGGUGUUGUUAUUUACUGUGCUGCUAACAAACAGACAAGCUGUAAACAGGCUGAUACGGUUCCCUGAGCCUACAUUUGGGCCUGAGGUUGCAUGCCAGAACUUUACUCUGCAGAGUAGGGAUGGGCGAUAUAGGCCAUUUAUCACAACAAGAUUUGCCAUUCUGGGGAUAAUGAUAAAAGUCCCAAUAAAUAGUAUUGUACUUCUAAUCUAUAUUUUUGACUCAUUUUGUCUUGAGAACUCCAGUUGGAGUUUUCAAAUGAGAUACUUAACCACAAGUUUAAGUGGUAGGUUAUGGAAAAAACUAAGACAUCAACAAGUCUCAAAUGUAAAAACAUUUUCAACAUUUAUUAAAAACUCUUAUUGCACAGAGUGAACAGCAGCAGAUCCACUGUCAGAUGUCAGACAUACCUGAUUGUGUUCAUCUAAACCCCAAUCUUGAAGGAAAGCCCUCAUGUGGAGUCUUGUUUAGCAAAAAGCUGCUCAAAAACAUCUUCUUCGUUACCCUCGGCCAUGUUUGUUUGUUAGUCUACUCUGUGUGGGCCAUGACUGCGAGUCCGUCGCUCGCUUACGUAAUCAACUUGCAUUUAUCGUAUUUAUCAUGGAGGAUUUUUCUGAAGAAGGAUAACUUAUCGCCCAUCCCUACUGCAGAGAGAGAACAUAAGAACUUCUGUCCAUAAAGUUUGAUACUUUUCUCAUCAAUUAACUCACUGUGAGAGAUGUAUUGAAUCAAUUUCCUCAGGUUGGAAUCAAUAACCCAUAAACUGUAAUUUAUAGUCCAAACUGCUGCAGUCACCACAGGCCAUCUCUGAAUAGUCCUUUGGCAGGCUGCUGUGGAAUAGAUGGGCCAUGCAUGCCAAGCCAAUAGGUUCUCCUCAUCAUUUGCAUACCUAACAUGGUGUUCACACUCCAGUUGACACAUUUGCAACCCGCCACUUAUCCCAUUACCAGCUGUCCCCGGUUGGAGCAUUGUUUGCUGCGUCGGCACUCUUUCUUGCCGGCUGGCCAGCUCAUUUCCUACAGCGUUGUGUGUUGAGACACUCACAGGUUGUUUGGAUGCUGCUAAAAUCUCUGCACAAACACACAUCGAUAACUCUCUUUGGUGCACUACAGUUUAUACUUGUUGAGAGAGACUGAAAGGAUGAGAAAACCUCUUUGGAAAGUUGGAGUAAGGUAUGUGAAAGUAUGGUCGCUUUCACAUCACUUUCAAUUUAACAGCACUGUAGGUUUUAUAUUUCUACAGACGACAUUGAAAAAACAAUUCAAAAUCAGAAUAUCCACAUUCAGGUUCAUGUCAAUAUGUAUACUCACUCUCAUAUAUAUAUAUCUCCUUAGGCACCUUUACGCUGUGUUUCGUUUGGAGUCUCUAAUACGGGGUCAGUAAUUUGUCAUUAAGAGUUUAAUUUUAGUUGGCGCUUUUGCUCUGGAUGUUUAAUUUCAGUCUGCAAUAAACCACCCAGAGCCCUGCAGCCAUUUUUGCCUCCUUCCCCCCUCCUCCCUUGCCCCCUUCCAGCCUCCAUCUUUCUCUCUUUCAUUCCCUGUUUUUCAGGAGGGCAGUGUUAUUGUAAAAGUAAAACUGAUUCCCACAGGCAACAAAAAGAAAAGGCUAUUAGUGGAUGAGCUGUGUUGUUCACCUUGGACACGGCUGCAGGAUGUAAUGUGUUUCUGUCUCAGAGCCACAGUGAUAUUUUCCUUUCCUCUGGUAGGGAGAGCUACACUAUGUUGCUCUGCAGUAAGGCUUUCAGAGUGUCAUGUUUUUACAGCAGGGGUCCUGAUAUCUCUCACAUAAGACUUACAUGACAUUUCUGCUCGGCUCUUUUAUCAAUUGGCUGUGUAAACCGGCUUACACCAAGCUUCUGAACUCAAUGAACUUAAAAUCACUGUGCAGAUUCUCUCUGUGUUGAGGGGCUGCGGCUGAAAGCUGUAUGUCACCCAUGGAUUUUCUGAUAAGAUCAUUUUCCACCCUGCACAUCUAUUUUUGAUGUGCUGUGUUGGUGGCUAAAUGAAUAUUCAUGAAUGUGCAGAAGGCCUAUAUGUAUCAUAGUGAUUUCCACCCGUGUCAUCAAGCUGUGCAAAUUACAUCCUCACAUCUCCAUGCAGCCCCCUCUUAUUCCUUAAUUAAUGACACUGAGAAAAUGUUUUUUUUUUCCUUCCAAUGAAAAUUAGCUCCUUCAAGACAGAAUGUGUGAAGAUAUUUAAUAGAAGUGAUAAUUCAUGCCUUGUUUUGCCUUGAUGACUUCAGGAAAUACAUUUUCCCCAGCAGAAAGCCCCCCUUAAGAUGGAUUUACUGACCUUGGAGGGGAUUAAACUCAAAUAUUACACGGCAUUGGCAAGGUGUACAACAAUAACACAACAUAUUUGAAGAAGGAGGUUAAGACUGUGUUUACACGUGCCCAGGUUUUUUCAUAAAUGGACAUUUCACCCUCUCCAUGUACAAAAAAUAAAACAAAACUGCGUGCACACCACUACAUUUUCAGAAAAUUUGCGUUUACACUAACCAGUGUAUCUAUGCUGUCUGACAGCAGCGAUGCCCGCGACAUCUGGAAAUUUUCACGCCACUCCUCCGACAGAACCACUUCAUUUACGAAGUUCUCCCACCAAACAGUAGUGCACCCAGGUCAGACCCAAAACCAAGACAAGGGGGACAUGUCCCCCCCUACUUUUUCAAAAGCCCGUUUUGGUCUCCAGCAGUUUUAACUGUCUGAAAACAAUGUUACGUUACACUAUAGCAAACCAGUACAUGUCAGGCACUAGGACCAAACGGCCGCUCAAGCUGAAAACUGGUUUCCCUCAGUUAGGACCGCCCACAAGGUCCUUGAUUGGCUCUGUCAUCAGAGGUUUCAUUUACAUCCCUGUAUCGGGUUUGUACUUCCAUCCACCCGCUGGCCGUAUUGCCUCCUCUGUUACUAUGUGUGCGAGAUGUGCUGUUUGCUAGGCCAUAUGUCUCAACAGUACUCAAGUCACAUGUGUCCACCCCACCUUUGAAAUCAAAAUUUCGUCCUUGGCGACGCAAGCGCACUCUUCGUGUCGGAGGGAAAAGUUGCUUCAACAUUGCUGACCUUUGAGCACUCAGUUGUCUCUGCUUCUCCUCAUAGUACAGCACUUGUAUUUGCAAACAAAUACAAAGGGAUUGCACCAGCAUAAAUGCGACUGCUAUUCUGCAUGCAUCUAUGAUCAUCAUAGAUCAUAAACAUAGACUGUAGAUUAUAAACAACUUUGCAUUUAACCCAGUUUCCAGCAUAAAUGUGCCGUCGGCGACUCAAAUCUAUGUUUUUCUCUGUUUACAUGCAAACAGAGCUUUCCAAAAUUUCCACUCUGGACGGAGUUUUUGAAAAGCAUUGUUUUCAUGGGCGAAUUCCCUGAUUGCGUCUAAACCAAGGGUGAAAACGAUGGUUAAUGUCUCCGUUUUUAAAAAUAAUCGGGUACAUAUAAACGGGGCCUAAGAGUAUGCAGAAGAAACAGACUUAGUCAAAUUUCCCCAUGCUUGAAAAUAGAGAAAAAAAUCAGCAAUAGGAUAAGAUCUACUAAUUCGUUCUCAGGGGGGCGCAAAUAAGGAAGUCCAUCACAGGAGCUUUAAGUUGUGUGCUUAAAUGAGCAGCAUUUAAACUCCAUAAAGAUCCUUUUACUGCAAUGUUACGACAUGAAACACAGCUGACAUUGUGUAGAUCUUCAGAACCACAUGUCAUGCAUUUAGCUUAUCAUGCGUAUACAGUGUGGGUGUUGAAUCUCGCCUUCAUCUCUGAGAUGAAAAAGAAGAUGAGGAGUGGGGGUUAUAUGGCUCAUGAAGAGGAUAAUAAAGGGCGGAAGUGGGGACAAGCAGUGAUGCUGACAUUAGGGUCAAGUGCUGAUCUGGCGUCACAUUUCCCUUUCAAAUCCAUCUUUAUGCAUAUGCUCACAUGAACACAUUAAAGUCCGUGUGUAGCCGCACACCCACAUGCUCAUGCUAGGAAGCCUGCCAGAGAGAGAGGUUAAGUCACAGGGAGACAGAAAGCAGAUGGAUGAAAUCAAAUGAGUAAAGCAAAUUAUUUAAGGGUGUGCUUAUGCGUUAUGAGGGUGUAUUUGUGUGUGUGUGGGUGUGCGGUGUGCCGUGCCAAGAGAAUAUAUAUAUGUAGGAGAGAAGAGAGAGGCAGAAUCCAUUCAGGAUGGAGGUAGUAGCUCACUGACAGACCUCACUGCCAUGCUCAGCCAGUUCAUUGCUGUCAUUCCUUACAUCUUUUGACAUUUUCAAUUAUGUCUUUCACACAUGGCUGGGCGCUUGUUUUUUUUUUUCAAUACUCUCCUCAUCACCCUCCUUUGCUUUUCUCUCGCUCUCCCUCCUUCCUAUUCUGUCCCUCCACCUUUAUUCCAUUUCCUUUUUAAGUGGCCGCUCCCUCCUCACUUUGUGUGUCAGGCCUUUUCAUAUGUGGGGGUCAGGUAUAGCCCAGGGAUGGAAUUACUCCCCCUCCUACCUCUGUGGCGGAUGGAGUGAGUGAGGGAGGGAUAGGGCAAACGAGAAGCGGGAAGGGAUGCUGUCAGAUAUGUCAAGGAGUCCUGUUCAAUUUAUGUGCUGAUCCGGAGGGGGACCUCACAGGGCGAGGUGCAGAUCCAAGGUAGACUUGUGUUUUUUGGUUGGCUACAUCCUUCUUACCUCCAAGCCCCCCGACUAUAACGGCCAAGAGAUUUAUAUUUGACUGGAACAUCUGCUUUAAAGGUGUUCUCUAUGUGCGCUUUACCACUGCAUAGUCCUGAAUUGGAAAAUAAGUAUCAGUAUCACUAAUGAUCACUGCCUAAAUGCAGCAAAUACUGUCGAUUAGUUUAAUUUCAAACCUAGUUGCUGAGUAGAUGUCUGGACAAACAACCACAUUACACUUGAAAUAGGUUGCAUUCAUAAAACAAGACCAGAAAUAAAUCUUGUUUUUCAGAUACUGAAAUGGGACUGGAAUUGCUUGUUAUAAGUAAAAAUAUAGGAAACAUGAAAUGAGAUAGUUUGUUUAAAAAUUAGACACUCAUGCCAAGACUGGAACUGAACUGGUCUGAUGCCAUAUUGAAUUUUCCCUCCAAAAAAUCAAUUGGUUGUAGGUCAAAGACUCUUGAUGCAGAAUCUUCCAGUUGUUCUCCAUCUUCUCAGAGCUUCUCAGGAGGAUAGUCACCACCCUUAGACUGUAUAAUAACUGGGUAUAGCAUCAGGGAUUUAACCAUCUGUUUCUGUAGCCGAGUUUUGAAGCUAAUCAGUGGUAGUCGCCAUAUUGAAAAUGCUGACUCAACUUUCUACCUACCAGAGGCCUGUACAUUUAAUAACUUUGGAAAGAACAUUUACACGCACUAGGGCUGGGUGAUAUGGCCUCAAAUUAAUAUCAUGAUACAUUGCAGUUCACCUUUACGAUAAAUGGACAAUAAUUACUCCACAAGCUGCUCACCCCCUCCCACAUUAACUUCGUCUAAAUCAGCCGCCACUCCAACUUUUGAACAGUCCUCCAUCUCCUCACUUGUCUUUCUCUGUUUGUUACAGACUGGAUGGGGUGGAGUCACGUCUCCAACGUAGGACAGUGUCUUAAAGGGACAUGAGACCAUAGCCUACCUACACACAUCCAAAACAAACUUUUAUUUAUUUUUUGACACCAAAUAUACUGAUAUGGGCACAAUGACAUCAGUUAUUGUCAUAAAUAUUAGUAUUGAUAAUUUUCGGUUUAUCGCCCAGCCCAGGCAGGCGCACCAAAAUCCUUUUUUGAACUAGACCAAUUGAUGUUUAUUUGUUUUAAAACAACAUUAUUAUUGUAAUGUGGUUUUCAGUACUUCUGCAGACAACUUCAAGUGUGCUCUUAGGGAACUGCAAUUCUUUAUCACCUCAAGUUUAUUAGGGGUGUGAAUCACCAGUGGCUUCACGAUACGAUAUUGUCACGAUACUUGGGCCACGAUAUAUUAUUGCGAUUUUUAACAUUUUGCGAUACAUUUAGUAUUGCGAUACAAUAUAUUACAAUUCAUACAAUUUUUUCAGCUGUUUUUCUUAUUUACACAGCAUUUUAUCUUCAUGUAGCACUUCUCGCAAACCUCAUGUGUCAGGUCCAUCUCAUUUGUGCCCUGCUUGCAUUCCUAAUAUCUUUCCCCAGGCGCUGCUAUAUUGGUUGAACUAACUUUCUCCUGCUCUGUGAUAUCACCUCUGCCAACCUCACUGGACAAACAGUUUAUUUUAUUUUUCCAUUUUCAUAGAUGUGAAUUCAUAUUAACAAUUAAUUUGAAAAAACUGAUACUUGGUCAAUGAGACGAUAUGAUUUAUCACCAAGAUACUGUGCUGUAUCGAUUUUUUCUCCCACCCCUAAAGUUUAUGAAUAACUAUGAGAAAGAUGCUCGGAUGCAGGCAGGAUUUGGAGGCAACUUAUGGGGCAGAUAAGUGACAAGAUGAUCACUCUGCCCCUCAACUGACUCUGCUGUUACAGGAAUGCAUUUGUCCACUGUAUUUUGUGGGAUGGAUUCAAUGCACAGGGGAGGAAAACACCAAAGAAUUUGAAUGUUUAACAGUCCACCUUGAACAUUCUCUCAUUUCGUCAUUGUCUCAUUAAAAACACUUUUUUUCAGGGCGUUUAUCAUCAGUGAUUUAUAUUUUAUCUCUCCAUCAUCCCGUCUCUGUCACGGGAAAUAAAGGUCAUUGAUAAACCUGGUCAGCAUGUCAGUACUCUCUCAAAUACCUUAAAGACCUGAAUGCUGACUGAUGAUAUGACUCUGUGAGUGAUCACCGAACUGACUAAUUGAUUGAGUCAUAAUGAGCCCAUAAUGUGCUUCACCACUUAGAGCAUCAGAGGACAUACAGCAUCCAUAAUGUAUGAUCUAUAUGAAAGAAGACUGGGAUCAUUUUCCUACUAGGUCAGCUGAUGGAUUUACUGAUUGAUUGAUUUGCUGACUGACUAAUUGAUUGGUUUCAUAAUGAAGGGAAAACACAUUUUUCACCAUUAAAGCCUAACCAGGGGGGAUUCCCUGCAGCUGGCAGUCGUGAUGUAACGCAAAAGGUUCUAAUGACCUCAGCAUAAUCACCACCAUUAUGAUACCAGCGCUCAGCUCUCCAAACCACUUUAUCAUCAGAGUGUUGCCUACUCAUGCCUACAGUUAGCGCUCACUCACUCCUCUCGCUCAAAGUCAGCCAAACAGAUAACUGCUGCCAGGUCUGCGGCCAAAAUCUCAGCAGAAAUGUUGCCGGCUGCCAACAAAGCUUUGUUUGGACGAAAAACAGAAUAUUUCCCUGUUUGUGUGUGUGUGUGUGUGUGUGUGUGUGUGUGUGUGUGUGUGUGUGUGUGUGUGUGUGAGGUAGCAGACUCAUCGAGUUGCCAAAACCGGCCACUCCGGCUUGACUCACUUUCACCAGGGGGCAGUAAAGAAGGCAGGACGCCAGAUUGCUAUUUUUACAGGCUAAUCAUUGAAGUAGGUUGCCAUGUCUUUUUUUUUGCUCCCUCUUAUCCCCCCCCCCCCUCCUGCUGACUCUUAACCCCGACCCCACAGCAGGAGAUCCCUCUCUUGGCAAAGGGGAGGUAAAAAAGCAAGCGAGGAGGAAAAAAUGGGGGGGAAGUCAGUGGUGCGAGCUGAACAAGAGAAAUGGGGGAGUCAUGGUCAAGGGCUGAUUAAUGAGCCUCUAAUUUAAUCAGCAAUUCCCAUCUCACCAGGGCCUCUCCACGUGGCUCUGUAGCAGCUUAUUAUUUUUAACAAGUCUGUGAUCUCCCCCUUUUCCUUUGCUCCUUUUCUCCCGCUUUCUGUCUUCCCCAGUUCUUCCUUUUAUACUGAGCUCUUAUCUGUGUCAGAGUCGGGGAUGUGAAUAGUGGGGCGAUGAUUAAUGGAGAUUUAAGACCUAUGAAGGAUGUCUAAUCUCUCUCAUUUUCUCUCACUCCCUCCCUCUGUCCCUGUCGACGUACCUUUCUCUGUGUCUUUCCCACUCUUUAAACAAAACUGACUGCUGUAGUUGAGUUUUAGUCUAGGCAGCUGCCAUUAUGUAGGAAGUUAUAGUAAUGAAACCUCAAAGAUGGUCUUCAGCACCUGUAUUAGACAUAAAAUGGGUAAGAAAAGACACGUGCUUGUGUGUAUGGGUACCGUGUACAUGUUUCUUUGCAAAGAGCAUCAUUUCAGCUUUUUAUUACCUUGCUUUAAUUAAAUUAAUGAGCCUUAAACUCACUGCAUGUCGUACAUGAGCCUGUCUUGUACUUACAGUGUAACCUAAUGCAGAACUGAUCACCUGCAUUGCCUGUGUCAUAAGCCGGCAUUGAAUGCAGUCAUGUCUUGAAAUUACUGACGUUAAUUUCUGACCCUUAGAGAUUGUAGAAGUCUUUUGUAUAACUUGAAAUUCACUUUCUAGGAAUGCAUGAUAUUGGAUUUUAGCAGAUGUCUGAUAUUUUCAACUUUUUUUGUUGUAAAAAAAAAUUGGCCAAUAUAUAUCUGCAGAAAUGUGCAAUGUGACUGAUUGUUAAUGUGACAAGUUGUGAAUGCAAACACUGAAUGCUGGAAUAAAACUUGGAUGUUUUAAAUGCUGUAGCUAGCUGUUAAUAUUGGUAGAGUAGACUUAAUUGCAGUAGUAGUGAUUAUUACAAUUAGGGCUGGGCGAUAAACCGAAAAUUUACCAAUACAGAAAUUUACAACAAUAACCAACGUCAUUUUGCCCAUGCCACUUUAUUCGGUGUCAAAAUAAACAAAUAAAUAAAAGUUGGUUUUGGAUGUGUGUAGGUAGGCUAUGGUCUCAUGUCCCUUUAAGACACUGUUCUAUGUCAGAGACAUGACUCCACCCCAUCCAGUCUGUAACAAAGAGGGAAAAACAGGUGAGGAGAUGGAGGACGGUUCAAAAGUUAUAGCGGCUGAAGUAGACGAAGUUAAUGUGGAAUAUCAGACUUGUGUUUUCAAACUCCUAAGUCUCUCCAAGACAAAUUUAAAACAAGAAGAAACAUCAUUAAAAUCCACCAUUAAUGAUAAACGUUUUCCUUUUUAAACAUUUUUUGAAGCGCAGGCUGACACUAACACAGUUUUUGUUCUCACUUUUUAGGAUAAUGGUUCUUCAAAUACAAAAAUUGAAUCGGUUGUGUUAAAGAAAUUUAGUUUUGCUCUUUCUCACAUCAGCGACGCUUUACAACCAUUACAAAAGCUAUUUUUCUGUCCGUUUCCUACAUCUCAGUAUACUUCCAUACAACCAACAUGCCACACAUAAGCUGUCUUCAUGUAAACAUUGUAGUAUUGGCAAACACGUUUAUAUCUGUCAAUACUGAAAGUUAACUUUUUAAGCUUUUAUCCGCCAAUUAUCUUGACAAUAGAAAUGUGCAGCCCUAAAUAAAAUCAAUAUUAGUUAAUUUUUCAGUGAUUGCCACAACAACAACAACAACAAAGUUAUUAAAUGAAAAUUACAUGACUCUGUGUUGUAAGUUGUCAUCAGAGAUACAAUGAUUCAGAGACAUGACUGAAGGUGAAAUGAAAUGGUGUUUUUCCACUUUCUGUUCUUUUAGGUUAUAUAAAUUCACUAAAUUCAGGUAAAUAAAAUAAAGGUACAGAUCAUAAUCUCUGGCAGGGCUGUUGUCCUUUAACUUACUUUGACUCUUGAAUUGUUAGUUUUGUUUAACAGAUCCAAGAAGCCAAGCUAGUACAUAUUUUUUCUGUGGUUUUACCUUAUAGUCCACGUCUUCAGGAGAAAAGCAAAACCUCACCCUACCUCUCCCUCCUUUAAACAAAUAGUCGCUCCAUACCUCAUAUUCCCUUCCCUCACAUUUGUCUGCGUAAAACAGCACACACAGCACCUUUUUUUCACAUGCAGAAGCGAUUCAUAUAUUGCCAGAUAAUUAGAAAUGAUGGCAGGUUAAAAAAAGGGAGGAAAUAAGAAGUGAUGGAAUAAGAAAGGCUUUGUAGUGAGUCAGAAUGGAGAUGAGAGCAGCUCUUUAAUUCUUCCUCUGAUUACUAAGUGCCUGCGUCCAUUAUCUUUACACAGUGAAUAGCAGAACACCAUAAAGGUAAAAUGUGACUCAUCCAUCCCCAACGGUUAUCACUCUCAAUGGCUUAUGGGAGCUGUUCUCCCCCCCCACCCUCCUCCAUCCGCGCUCAGAUUGACACAGUGCCUACUUAACGGCUCUUCAGAAAGUGAUUUCAAAUUGUGUGUACACUACAGUAGAUGUUUGUACACAGUUUUAUGCUUUCAAGAGGGACUUUUGUGUAUGUAUGAGUGUUAGCGCAUGUAUGAAAAUCUGUCUUUUUGUAAGAGUGCAUAUUUGUCAUGUCAUUUCAUAUGUUUCUUCUGUCAGUGGGAGACGAGGGGUGGGGUGCGAAGGUCCCCUCUCCUCUCCUUUGCCAUGCUGCUCUGAGAGGUAUUGCCUCCCUUAUUGCUGUUGAAAAGCCCCAUCAGUGCCAGGCGCUCUGAUUUAUGUCUCUGAACCUCUCCACCUCCAGCUCCUUUCCAUUAGGCUUUACAAUAUUCCCCCCAUUGUUCAGCUCCUGGCGUUAUCGGCCCAGCCCAGGCCUGUCAGCAAGACCUGCCCCGCACACAAUCACGCCAGGAGCGGCGAGAAGAAAAAGGAGGGGAGGGGUGGUAGGAGUGAGAGAUCGGAGAGGUGGGGUACUACAGAUAGGAAGAGGAGGGGAGGAGGAGCGAGCAUGCCGGGAUGAAGAGGGAGAUAGAGAAAGUGGCAGGCAGAGAUGGUUGGGGGAGGAUGGAAAAAAAAGAGAUGAUGGGAUGAUAGGAGGAAAAACGAAGAUGAGGUGGAGGGCAGCGUGUUGAAGGAAGUGUCGAAAUGGAAGAUGUCCAUCUCAAGCUUGGUUUUAUUGUUCCUGAAAGCAGGACUUGAGGGACGGAGACAUAAGUCAGGCAAAAAAAAACGCGAGAGGCGGCGAUGCUAUUUGGUUGCAUUACUUGGUUACAGUAUGUGCAUUAAGAUAAAGAUUUCAUUGCCUUGGAAUAGUGUUGAUAAGGUGAUGGCAGUGUUACUAUAGCAUGUGGAGCUUUAGAUGCAGACCUCACUCUGUCAAUUUAAGCCAGCUUUAUUGCCUCGAAGAAAGGCCGGAUGAGGCAGGAGCACGCCGUUGCAUUUGGUUAAAUGUAGGUGCCUUUCAGACGUGGCUUCACAAUAUAGUGCGAGCAGAUGCAUCACAGUCGUUAAGUGCGGUACAAUGAAUGCUUGAAAGGCAGCCUGGAGAAAGGUCGAGAGGGCUGCAUGAGCAGAAUGUGAAUGAGGAAAGACUAUUUAAAGAGAUUCGGGAUCGAUGCUUGUCUUGAUGAUGUGCGAGCAACGACAGAUCAGCCAGAGGUUGUUUGUGAGGGUAAAGUGUUGAGAGAUUAAGCAAGCAAACGAGAAAUGCGCAGGUUAUUCUAGCUCGCAAACACCAUAGUGUAACUUUCCUAUGGCGGUACUGGAAGUGGUAUUUCUUCUUUCUGCUCUUAAUAAUGCAAAAGGUAUUCAGAGCAAUGUCGCUAUAAAUCUAAAACGCAUUUUCCCCCCACCUUCUGUAAAUGAAUGCCACCUUGACUUACACCCCCUCUUUAUAAUUGACAAUUCAGAAGACAAUUGCUCACAAAUGGCAAAAUUUUCCUAUUUGUCUCAGUCCUGCAUAUGCCUACCCAGACAAUGACAUGGUAAAUUUAAAAUGAAUUGCAAAUUGCCCUCAUUUGAAAUGCAGGGGCCUCUCCUCCUUUUGAAGAGGCGGCGGGUUCCUGUAAGAGAUCUUUUUUUUUGACAUACACCUUUGAGAAGAGGAAGAUGAGAAGCGGUGGAUUAAAAGGAGAAGAAGAAGGAGAGGAGAGAAGAGGGGAGGGGAGGUUGGCAGAUAAGCUUGCUUGCUUUCAACUCAGCAGAGGAUAAGGGAGAAGAAGUUUUAAUAUCUCUAAAUCAGCAGCUCGAUAUUGAAAGUGUCAUCUAAUUGAAAAUGAUUUAGGACACCGGGCCCGCCUGGCAAUCAUAUAUAAAUUCACUCCUGACACCAGCUCCAAAGUCUCUCUAUUUCUACUUUAUGAGUCAUUUGCAUGGUGGGGGCCUUGGAGAGUAUAAACCAUGCAAAUGAUAUGGAGCGCUGCACAAGGUGAUGUAUCCCCUCCCCUCUCCCUCCCUCUCCUCCUCCAUCUCUCCAUCUCUCACUCGUUCUCCCUCUUAGCCUCAGGAGAAAUGCUUUCUGCUUUGCUGCUGCCUUUGUCCAGAAAGUCAUUUAUUUCUCUUGUUGUUCGCUCGCUUGCUAUUUUACAGCCCGCCACAUAGGUUAGGGGGAAAGAGCCGGCUGCCAGCCCAUUCAGCAGAAUAACUGUCAUCUCCCAUUUGUGAGCCCAUGUUGUACGUGGAAGUCAUUUCCCUAUUUGGUGAAAAGACAGAUAGAGAUGCCCACAAUAGAAAUGCGGAUGUGUAUCCCUUUAGUACAUUACAAUAAAUAUACCUGUGCUAUAAUGUGACACUGAAAGCCUUGCAGUGCAUCCUUGCGCCUCAUACUUUAAUAUGUGGUAAAUGCUGUACUGUCUAGGACUUCAGGCUGGGUUUUUCUUUCUUUUUUUCUUUUUUUAAAAUCUUUCCAUGAGCUUUCAUCUCCUCCGCAAAGCUGUCAUUAACAUGUGUGCAAGACUGCUUUCAAGUCACGAAACACACACUUGCCAGGUGGGUUCAACACAGAGUGCAUCACGCAAUCAGGAGUCGUGGAAACCUGGGAAGGAAAAUCGCACAUGAAUGAGAUUGAAACAUAUUAACGGAAAAUAAACAAGUAGGGCUGGGUGAUAUGGGAAAAAGUUUAUCACUAGUGAUGCACGAUAUGAAAAAUUUCAACCGAUACCGAUAACCGAUAAUUUUCUUCUUCUCAUGGCCGAUACCGAUACCGAUAACCGAUAAAUUCAUAUUUUUACGUUUAUUAUAAUCUUCAUAUAAUCUGCAGUUUGUGCAGGAUGCAGCGAUUGAAAACUGCGGUUUUUGUUGCUCUGGCCUAUCUAGAACAACAAACAAAAGUUUUUGGCUCUUCAAAUGUGGUCAUUUGCUAUAAAUAACAAUAACAGAGCAAAAAGCAGAACUUCAUUUGAUCCCCUGAACUGUUCAACAGAACUGUAAACUGUAAAGGAGCUAUUAUGAGACGUUAGGCUUAGCAUGCUGACCGGACUAACAUCUGACGUCCAUAUGUCUGUGGUAAAACUCACGUGUAGUCCGUUCUUGUCGAUCAGGUUGUGAAUGUAUGUGGCGACAAUAUCAUAGAGUGCAGGAAGAGACACAUCCGAGAAGAAGCGGCGGCUUGGGAGAGUGUAACGUGGCUCCAAGUGUGCUAAUAACUUACGAAAACCCGGGUUCUCAAUGACGGAAAAAGGCUGGUCGUCGACCGCUAUGAAUUCCAUCACUUUGUCGUUAAUGCCUUUAGCCUUUUCGCUGUCUCUUGAGAAGCUUUUGCAGUUUUUAAACGCCUGCUGAAUGGGGACAUCGAUCCUCCGUAGUGUUGUUGUCUUAGCUUUAGUACCGCUAGCAGCUUCGGCGGCUGUCUCAUAUUCUUUUACUACCGCUUCGCCGCGAUGGCGACUUUUCAGAUGAGCUAUCAGAUUCGUUGUGUUAAAACUUGACGUCUUCUUUCCUCCUCUCGGAAUCCUCGCUGAACAGGUUUUGCAUAUAGCAAUGCUGUUGUCAUCUUCUGCCACUGAGAGAAAAGACCAUGCUGGUAAAGACAUUUUAUUAUCUAUCAGGUAGUGACGGGGUCAGGCUUGGGACCUGCGAGUAAGGCGCGAUAGAUGACUUAACCAGCGCGUCUCGGACGGGCGGCUACUCCGCCUGCAAACGUUACUCGUAAUUUCAUUAAUAUAUCGGAUCUUUCUAUCGGAAAAAUGCACCUAUCGGACCGAUAAAAAAUGACGUAAUUUCUCCCCAAAUCGGCCGAUAUUUUAUGGGUCCGAUAAAUAUUGUGCAUCCCUAUUUAUCACGAUAUAUUUUUUUCAUAUCACGACAUAAAAAUGAAAUUUAACAGAGCCUAUCGGUAGCAUGUCUUUUGCGAUACAAUAAGCUACUGCAUCUGUGAGGUCUUUGUGUCUCUUCAACAUUUUGUCGUAAAGUGUUGCUGCUGUUUCGGCUGCACAGGCGCCAUGGGCUCUUUGCUCCGCUUGGGGUUUGUAACCUUUUGCGUUGCGUGUGCUCUGCCAUGUGGCACUGCUUCAGUUGGCGAAAAAGAUUUGAGGUAUUCCCCGACUUUGUGAGAACAUGCACUCGACAUAAUUUGCAGUGCACAUUACUCUGCUUAAUGCCCGACCUUAAAAAAACAAAAUACCUCCACACCACUGAAGUUUUCGUGCCAGUGUUGUCGACGAUGUCAUCAUCUGUUGAGCCUUCAUCUGCAUUUCUGCGGGAGUAGCACUCCUUUUCUUUGGCUAUCUUUAUAGUCUACCGAAACAUGGGAAAAUGCCUACUAUCGAAAAGCAUAUUGACCAUGUUUCAUAUUGAUAUUGAGGGAAAUUAAUUUUCCAUAUAUAUUGUUAUUGUUUUAUCACCCAGCCCUAUAAAUAGGAAACCCAGAAGCCUAAAAUUAAGAGGUUUGAUCUUUGUAGUGGCGUCACUUCCAAAGCAGUUCUUCACCUGAUGGCCUGUCCUGCCCGUUAGAUGGAUAUAAAAAGCAGGGAGUGAGAGUUCAGAAGGGCUGACUAUAUAUGGUUACCCUUUAUGGCUUCCAUAAAACUUUUAUGAGUUGGAAAUCCUCUAUUUUUCUCUCUGGAGGGAAACAUCGCAGUUUAAGAGUGAAAGUAAGAAGAGUAUAUGGAGACGGAUGAAAAGCAACAACAUGAGGGUCUCCUGUUCUCCUAUCAAUGGGCAGGAACUCGUUAAAACAAAACCUCUCUUUUGUCUUUUCAUCCCUCUUGUUCCACCAGUGCAGCUGUUAUUAAGACGUGAAUAAACUGGCUGAAGGGAAUACUGUGUGCACAUUAUCAUCUAACACUGUGUGGCCUUUCGUUGUAGAAACGGGGCUAAGUUAUCCCACAGGGUGUAAUUUGUGUGUAAACAUGUGUGCCCUCAUUUUUCUCCCUCCGGAUCUGUGGUUUUGGUGCUAAAAAAGAUCAGGGCUGCGCUAUAAUCCGCUGUUUAUGUUUGUUUUUUAUGUGCACAUGUGGCUCAUGAUUUUUGAGUGAAUUUCGCAUGAAUUUUUGUGCAGGUCCAGUUUUUUAUUUUAUACUUAAGCUCUUAAUUUUCAGAACAUAUGCAUGCAUCCUGAGUUUCUUAUGAGGGGUUACAUGCAAGCAUGUCUGUUUUUACUAUAUUUUAUUUAUGUCUGUACGCGUCAGUAAAUAUAUGCAAAUUCCAGCUGUAUAUGUGUGUGUGUGUGCAUGGAGAGCUGGUGAGUGAAUGACUGCAGCAGUCUCAAGUGUUGCCCAGGGAGCUUCUACGUGCGGUGGCAGUCUUGUUUGUCUUCCACUGCUACUCAAACAAUGGCUCCCCAUGGGCCCGCUCUCCGCCUAAUUGAGAGACUACAGAAGGAGAAGGAGAGAGUGAGAGAGAGAGAAAGAGAGAGAGAAGUGAUAGGGCCGCAGUUACACCAGCUCAAUUACACACACAUACACACAACCAAUGAACACACUCACCACUUCCACACUUGCACGCUCACAAGUAAACACCAGCACCCACAUGAAGAAGUAUAAAGCAUCAUAAAGUGGUAAUAGUGCCACUGCUGAGCUUCUGUUCAUGGCAUCUUAUGUGUAUCAACAAAAGCUCACACACACACACACACACACACACACACACACACACACACACACACACACACACCAAAAGUAAUCACUUCUGAUGGAGAGACAGCAGUGAGAAAUCUCUCAGCGCGAAGUGAUAAACCAAAUAGUCUGUGCAGUGUAUCUGUUGUGUCUGUGAGGCCUUGAAAUGUCCCCGACUCUUGACGCUCAUAUUACACAGCACAGUACCUGUUACAAGGAUGUGUGAUGUAACCCUAAAUGUUGCUCAUAUUGUUAUUAGUAGGUAUGGAUUAAGUGAUAUGUGGAUAUGUAGUCACGUCAUAUUUUCAAUGAGCAUGUUAAUGGGCUUCUUCAGUGAAUUCAGGUAAGAGGAAAAAAACAGCAUAACCUAGGGCUGGGCAAUAUGGCCUCAAAUCAGUAUCAAGAUAUAUUGAGCAGUUCACCUCAAUAACAUUAAAUGGACAAUAACUACUCCACAAGAUGCUCACCCCCUCCCACAUUAACUUCAUCUACUUCAGCUGCCGCUCCAGCCACUACAACUUUUGAACCGUCCUCCAUCUCCUCACCUGUCUUUCCCUCUUUGUCACGGACUGGAUGGGGUGGAGUCAUGUCUCUGAUGUAGGACAGUGUCUUAAAGGGACAUGAAACCAUAUUCUACCUACACACAUCCAAAACCAACUUUUUUGACACUGAAUAUAUCAACAUAGGCAAAAUGACGUUGGUUAUUGUCGUAAAUUUCAGUAUCAGUAAAUUUUCAGUUUAUCGCCCAGCCCUUCCAUAACCCCAUUUUAGAUGGCUUUUACAAACUUAAUUUUAGAUGUACUCCAGUGUUAAUUCAAAAAGCCUCCGACAGUGGCUGAGUUUUAAGAGGUUAUUUUUCAUGUUGCAGAAUAAUUGCAUGACUCAUAUCAACUCCCUAUUUUCUGUCAUUUAAAAAAUUUUUAAAUGCUGCCGCUACUGAAAUUGUGUUACAACACUGGCCCGACAUUGGUAGGGUACAAGACCUGACCACUGCGUGCACCCUUGACCUUUAAUGCAGUGAUGUUUUUCAACAAAGGGAUAUGCAAUUUGCCAAUAUUAUAUGCGGUUGCUGAUACUGAUAUAAAUAUGUACACUGUUUUUUAAUGUAGAAAAGGCGGAGUUGACCUGCUCCUCUUAUUCUUUCAGUCUGUUUUAGAACCAAAUAAACAAGACAGCAUUAGAUUCAACUGUAGAUGAUAGAUGUGUUUUAAUAUCGUGCAUCCUUCAGGUUGACAAACUGACGCAAUGGAGGCGGGGAUAAACCAGCUACAAUCUUGUACAUGAUAUGUAUGAUUGACAGCAGUCGGAAAUUCUCUAAACUCAAAAGGUGAUGCUUCUCCAUCAUCGUACAGUGAUGCUAUUGCAUGGUUUUCUUUAUGAGGUAUUUUUCAUGGCUUGUUUAUACAAAGGCUCUAUGACGGUUUUGUUGACACCCAAGCAUGGGAAACACAAGCAGCAACCUCCAGAUUUGAGAAAUGAAGCCAACGCGGAAGUGCUGUGAGCUGCAGUUCACUGCUUGAGGCUGUCUGCAAAAGCAACAACAGAGCAAUAAAAAGACAUGUCUGCAGCCUGGUUCAAAAAUGGUUUUGGUCAGAAUAGCUCACAGCACCCACGAUACAGGGAGACAUUUCUUUGUAAGAUGUUUGUCCUCAAGGUUAGAAGAUUGGCAAAUCAGAGGCAGGGCUCACUUGACUGAUCGGCAGGCAUACAAGGAGGUUAAAGGCCCACCAAAAGUUGACCAAAUGCUAUUAUAAAUAUGGGGACCAUUGCUGAUAGCCUUAAGUACUCUGUUUUAGAAGUAUAUGGAUGACAUCACUGAUAUUACAUCCAGUUCUUACACCUUAUACAGGUUAUAGUAAAAACAGAAACUGUAUGGUAUAUCUGGAAGGAUCAUAGCAUCCAAAAAGUCUUACAGGCAUCUUAACCAGGACAGUUUACAAUUCAUUUAAAGUUUGCCAAUUUGUUGUUUUGUCAUUGUUUUAUUACACUGUAAGCUAUUUCUACCAACUCUCUUCUGCUAAAAGCCACCAUAAUAAUAACAAACUGCACCUUCAAUCAAAAAUAACAGGACAACAUAUGAAAUGUUGAUGCUGAGAAAAUUUGAAAAAUGAUGUGCUGUUUGUGAACCUGGUGGCAGCAACACAUCUCUUCUUUUAACAAAACUCUGGAAACUGGUUGCUUUGAUUUUAAAACAGGAAAAGCAUUUCAGCUGCUAAACAACAGAUGUGUUAAGUAUUUUCUGUUCUAUAAUGUGCUUAACGAUAUGAUGCUAAAAUAAUUUAUUCUAACUAGUUUAUACUAAAACUAGGCUAAACAAGACUAGGCUAUCGUUUCAUGAAAGGUAGACCUACAGAGCUGUAAAGUUGAGCAUGUUUUCACCAUUCAACAUAAAAAAAGUUGGCCUCUUGUUAGCUUGUUAACUUGUAUUUUGGUUUGUGACGUAACUGUUUAAUGAAAACUAGCAAAAAGUUUGAUUAUUAACCAAGGGCUGUAUAUACUAUGGACAACUUGCUUCUGCCUUUCGUCAUGAUACGAAUUUGAAGCCGAAUAGCUCUCAGCAUUUCCAGGAUUUUCUUCACUUCCUGAAACCACCACUUGCACAGUAGUGUUGUACGCAUUUUGCCGGAGAGACGCUGUGAUGAGCUUGGCUCAAACAGCGUAACCCCUGGGUGAGCUACGCAACCUUUUUACGCCCAUAGGCUGCAUCAAGUGUCAAUCAUAGAAAACAUGAACCCCUAAUAACCUUUAAAAACUAAACUGCACUGAAAAAAGAGGACUUGAGCACAAACCAGUCUUUCAGUAACUACAUGUCAACAUUGCAAGCAGGGGGGAGAAAAAUUUAUGUUCUGUGUGAUAGAUUUAUAAAGUUUGUCCACAGCUCCAUAGGGAUUGCUGGAGGAGGCGGGAUUUAUGACCUGUACUGCAGCCCGUCAACAGGAGGCAGAUGGCGUACAUUCUAUAUACAGCCUUUGUUAUCAACUCAAGCUGCUGUAACUGUAGCUAAACUUCUCAGUCGUACAAACAUAAGACUGCAGACAGGUAGUUGUAGCGCCAACACUCUUACAUUGAAGUAAAAAUGAAGAACCUAAAGUCCAACAAUUUCUUUGUCGAAUGAAGCUACAACACAGCUGCAUGUUUCUGUUGAUUUACACCGUAUGUGUUUACGUUUUUUUCACACUCAAACACGCUUGGGGGCAACAAUUCUCCUGUCACAACAUCUCUCCUGCUUCUCUCUCAGUGGUCCUAGACCAUUAAGACAGUGUGUGAGAGAGAGAGGGUAGUAUGCAUCAAGCUCUCCAUGCCCAUUACAGUGGUAGUGGAGGACAACUAUCAGGAGAAUAUACUACAGAAACAAGUGGAUUAGGACUUUCUAAUGAGAACAGGCAAUACCUUGUGAUGGAUGACAGCCUUCAUACUGCACUGCCAUGCUCAUGGGUGUGUGUGUGUGCUGAGAAGGCCUUAGUGUACAUGUGUAUGCUGGUGUGUGAUUAACUUUUUGUGUGUGUUUUCUGGUUUUUAUGUGCAUGUCUGCUCGCCAUUAUCGUGUGUUGUCUUUAUGUAUCUGCUCUCAUAGGGAAACUGUGAAAGUAAUGUCCUUGAAUUUCACAUCCCCGCACUAAGGUUUCUUUCUUCCACUUAUUUAUUUAUUUAUUUGCAUCAAAGAAAAACCUCAUUUUUUUUCCCAAGAGGCACAAAAGACCAGCUCACGGAUGUCAAUAAAAAUACUUGCAACACACUCACGCUCCAAGCCUAUUGAAGAAAAGACCCACAGGAUAUUGUUAGACAGGGCGCCUGCUUUCGUCCAGUAUCGUUGACACAUUCACUUGGUAGCACAAUGGAAGCAAAAGCGAGGAGGCAUGGAAGUGUCGGCUGCUUAUACAGUCAAUGGGGCCCUUUUACAAGCUAUUUAAGAGGAUAAAAAGCAUGUCCUUUUCAGCGCGACACCGGUGACAGUGUGUUUCAAAGGCGCUCCAGGGCCAUUUAGGAGCAGUGGCAGCGCCGCACACUUUGAUUAAAGCGCUAUAGUGCAGAAAGGAGAGAGGCAACACUCGGCUAAGUGAAUAUGGAAAUGACCUCCGCCAUCCUCUUUUGCUCCCACGCCAACCUCUCCAAAUGCACAGAGUGGUGCGACAAAGACGAGUACGUCCUGUUUCUGUUUAACGUGUAUGUGCUUUUCUAGUUAAGAUAUAGCACACAAUGGAGGCAUGUGUGAGCCGCAGAGGAGGAGGAAGAAUGUGAUGACCAUGAGCCGUCGGCCAUGAAAAGUGGCUGCAGCCUGCUCAAGUCAUCUUUGUUUGAUGAGCUGAUAUUCCUCCAUUGACAGUAGCACCUUUCAAACUGAGUCUACGACUAGAAACUCUUCUCUACUCUUCUUAUUCCUCCUCUUUUUUUUCCCACUUGGUGACACUGGCGACGUUACACCCUAGAGACUAACAUAACUAAUAGUGAACAUACAGGCACCCAUAAAUUAUCUUUCUCACUCUAUUUUCUCUCUAUAAAUAUUUAGUUUAGGGUAAUAUAUUCCCACAUAGACAGCAAGGACCAGAUAUACGCAUUCAACCCCAACCUGUGCACCUAUAAAAUAAUGAUAAAUUACCAUGAAAGAAAUAGUCUCUUUAUCUAUCUUUGAGAAAAUGCUAAAUCAGACCCGUACACACCUCCAUACUCAUCCUCAUACAUAACUCAGAUCACAUACUCUUGCAUGUGUCCUGUACUCUAGGUUAACUCAUUUGCAUAUGUGCUCUGUUACGUGCCAUUGGCCCUCAAAUGGAUGUGUCCCGCCAUAGAAGAUUCCAGCAAUUAACCCAACACAACAUAGUUGUCAGCUGGUAAUUGACCUAAUUGUUUGGCUUGUCAGCUCCCGUUCUACGUAUUAAGCAUUAAAUAUGCUUGGUGUCAUUAAUCAAAGGAUUAUCAUGUUUCCAGGGGAGGGCGGAUGCACUGUGUCUUGUCCUUGUUUAGCAGUGCGAGGUGUUACGGAGAGUCCGUGAGGUGUUCUCUAACCCCACUUUUCUCCUCCGUACUUGAAUCUCUAUAACAUUUUUACAAGCUUAAAGCCUUUAAUAGCUUGUGAAAGUCCUUAUUUUAUAGCCCAACAACACUCCAUCAAAUUAUCCUCUGGUUUUAUAGCGCACUGUCUUUGCCAAGAAAAGUGGAGUUCUUUGGAUAUUGUGUAAAAUUGAAUUUUGUUUAGCCCGGGUAUAUCGCAAAUCAAAAUCUGUUAUUCCCAACACCAUCAUCCCAUUACUGUAAAGCUCACCACUCCUGCCUUAAUGUACUAUCUGUGAGUGCCAACAUCAUCUCAGCAGCCUGGGUACUUUUCUAUAGGCCCUUACGGAGGAGUGUAUGUGUGUUUGUGUGUGUGUGUGUGUGUGUGUUUGUGUAUGUGCGAGCGGGCAGAUGGCUCAGGUCCAAUUCACAGCUGAUUCACAGCUGAGGCUUAUGUAUUUAGAAGCAGAUUGCCUCCAGGUUGCUAUAAAAGGUGUUGAGCUGCCACUUUUAUUGGAUUUUUAAAGUGAGGAGAUUACAUCCAGUAUAUGUCUAAUGGUUCCCCACACACUGCUCGUUCAGUUUCAGCUCUCCCCUCUGCACGGCUUUUUGUAUUGUCUUGAGCAAACGAGGAAGGGUGUGCUCCCUUAUACCCUGUGCACACACCCAGUGCAUUAAUAACAAUAACAAUAAAAAGGUAAUCAAAUCUGUAAAAACAAUAUGUACUUAAUGUUGGCCCAGGAUCCAUUGCUAAAAGCCCACCUCAUCAAACUGCAAAUUAGUCUCGGCCGUAACUUUAUUACGGCCUGGCCUGCAGACUGGCAGCCAUAAAUAAUUCAACUGCACCGUCUCUGGAAGUGCUGAGAUUUAAUUCUACUGAAUGGAAAGUGUGUGCAUGUGUGUGUGUAUGCACUUGCUUAGAUCCAUGCAUGCCUUCAAGGUUUUGUUUGAGCUCCAGUGUGUAUGUAUUUGUGAAAUUAGACCUCCCCCCAUCCAUGGAAAAACACACACAGACACAAACACCCUCCUCUUUUCCUCUGUUCUCCCAUUGGUAGGCGGCUGCCUUUAGCCUCCUGUAGCAAAGCCUUCCUCACCAGGUAGCGCCAUGGCAACGGGCCCAGCCUCAUCUAUUAGCCAGCCAGUGGCCCAGCCUUCCUAGUUACAACUACCUUGAGAGACCACAGAGACACAGAGGGUGUAGUCAGGAGUUGGGUAAAAUAGAAGAAGAAGAAAUAGGAGAGAUGAAGUUAGAUAAUACCAGAGGGCAAAUGGUUCAAAACUGGAGUGAUGGAUAGUUAAACUCUUUAAACAAUUUAAACCAGACUUCAGAGUAGAUUAAAAAUGCAGAAUAAAAAAGAAAUGUUAUCUUAAUUAUACAUGACAGUGCAGCAGUUAUCAAUGCUAUGGUCUACACAGUGGGAACAAUAGUGAUCAAAGCAGGUUCAGAUCAUAAUUUAGGUUCAGUUACUUUGUAGUUAUUAGAUGGAUAUUAAGAAAAAAAAACAGGCAUUUCAAAUGGCCUGUUAGCUGUAAGUAAGAACAAGUGCCUUUAUAAUAACCAGUAGAGAGAGAGUGUUAUAUGCAAGUCUUGUUGCUCUUAAGACCUGUUGAAGUUAAUAAGGAUUCGAGGAAACGUUCAGCACAGACAGAUCUUUAUAGUAACUGUAACUAAAUGCUGAAUACAGUGCACCCAUUCUUGAGAGUCGGGACAAAACAUGUCCAACAUAGAAAAGUCUAAUUUAUUCAAAACAAUUAAGAAAUUCUAAAUGUUUGACAUACUCAAAAAGUUAAAUCUAAUGGAUUUGUGUAUACCAUUCCUAUUUUUUAGCACAGAUAUUUACUUUUUUGGGGGAUAUUUGUUUAAAUGAAACGUCUGUGGUUAGAAGGUCCAUGUUAUUGCUUGUGUCCUCAGCAAGAGGUCACAAUAUUGACCAGCCCCAAAAAACUUUAAAAAACUCUAUAAUUGUGAAAACAUAUACAUCAAAUAAAAAUUCAGGGCUAUAAAUAUAUAAACAAUGAAUGGCCUGAACAUCAAAUAGCUUUUUGCCUAAAAAUCUGCCUAUCAAAGUUGUGUCCUCAGUUUCUGUCAACUCCAUCAGAUUAUUCUAUAAACCUCAUUAAAUCAUGCAAUAUCAUGGUCAGCUAUAUCCCUGAGGACCCCUUUUCAUUUCCUGCUUCUGGUGAAUGCAACACCACCACACAUGGUCUGGUAGGUUUUACAGUUUUUGAUAUUUUAGACAAACAAUGUCAAUAUUUGUAUGGUCACAGCUGGACCAUGUCAACACCGUCUCUCCAUUAUUAUACUUUUUUUUAAACCAUAGUGAGUUCAAUUAAAGUAUUUUAGUGAGAUUAUCAGGACAGCUAGCAACUGCCAAAAAAGUAGCUAGCUGCACUGUACAAUAAAUGUUUUGGAGGGAAAAUACAUGCCCUUACGUCAACUCCGUCAGACGUCAACUCCGUCAGAUUUUGUGUCUGACGGAGUUGACAUGUAAGCUGAUGGAGUUGACAAAUCCACCUAUAACCUCUUAAUGUGCUGACAUUAUGCUAUUUUUGAACAUGGUUAAGGAUAACAAUGUUAUUCCAGGGUCUUAUCUGCACAUAAAAGUACAUAUAUAGCAUAUAUUACGUUAUUUUACCAUAUACUUCUGUUUUGUAGAGUAGACCAUGGGCAGGCUGUCUGCUUAAUUAUAACUGUCAAACUUUCCCAACACACACACACACACACACACCUAAUCUCAUUGAUUGAUUGAUUAAUGUACAAUCCUAAAGGUGCAGUAUGUAAUUUUCACUACCUAAAAUCUACACACUGGCUUCUUAUAGAGUGCGCAAGAAGUUCUACACUCACCGGUCACUUUAUUAGGUACACCUGUCCAACUGCUCGUUAACACUUAAUUUCUAAUCAGCCAAUCACAUGGCGGCAACUUAGUGCAUUUAGGCAUGUAGACAUGGUCAAGACAAUCUCCUGCAGUUCAAACCGAGCAUCAGUAUGGGGAAGAAAGGUGAUUUGAGUGACUUUGAACGUGGCAUGGUUGUUGGUGCCAGAAGGGCUGGUCUGAGUAUCUCAGAAACUGCUGAUCUACUGGGAUUUUCACGCACAACCAUCUCUAGGGUUUACAGAGAAUGGUCUGAAAAAGAAAAAAUAUCCAGUGAGCGGCAGUUCUGUGGGCGGAAAUGCCUUGUUGAUGCCAGAGGUCAGAGGAGAAUGGCCAGACUGGUUUGAGCUGAUAGAAAGGCAACAGUGACUCAAAUAACCACCCGUUACAACCAAGGUAGGCAGAAGAGCAUCUCUGAACGCACAGUACGUAAAACUUUGAGGCAGAUGGGCUACAGCAGCAGAAGACCACGCCGGGUGCCACUCCUUUCAGCUAAGAACAGGAAACUGAGGCUACAAUUUGCACAAGCUCAUCGAAAUUGGACAAUAGAAGAUUGGAAAAACGUUGCCUGGUCUGAUGAGUCUCGAUUUCUGCUGCGACAUUCGGAUGGUAGGGUCAGAAUUUGGCGUCAACAACAUGAAAUCAAUAACAACUAAUAAUCUGAGUCAGCACAUACAUUUAGAUCUAUAUCGAUAUAUUCUGAUCUAUAUCUGAUCUGAUGAGCGCAUUUGGCAUGCGUUUGGACACUCAACCUGACCAAAUUAACACAGCUGCUGAAUCCGCAUGAAAUUGAAUCAAAUAUCUAGUAAAUAAACACACAUGAUAUAGUUAACAAGAUAUUUAAUUUGUCUGCCCCCAUUUCUAGCUUCCUCUUCCUCUUAUUUCUCGCGCAGCUUAACCUGGACAUGUCUCUGUGUCCUCUACCCGUCCUGCUGCAGCUGCUGCUGCGGCAGCUGAACAGAUGAUUUGUUCCAGUGAUCAGAUGAGUUUUUUACUUUAAGCCUACAUACAAAUAUUAUAAUAAUCAGUUUUGUGAGCCAAAUUUAUUUUAUAUGCCAACAUCUAUGAAAGAAAGAGCCAGGCCACGGAGCGCGAUCUACACACAGAUUGGUUCCGAUUUUAAUGCCAUUAUUGGAAUUUAUGUUGUGACCUUUGCGCACAACCCACCUUUGUCACGUGAGGUUUAAAUAUAUGCAAUUUAAUGUGAUUGUCUUUAUUUGUGGAAAAGGGUGUUUGUCUUACCAGUGGGUCCAACAUUACACACACCAAAUCCAUCUGUGCUUAUAUGAGACGCCCAAUGCAGCGCUUACAGUGACACUUGUUGAGGAGCUGCCUUCUGUCGCCAUCGUGUGGCAUUGCUGUCUUCAGACAUCUCUUGAUCUCUUUGACUACUUCACGAAAAUGGUAAUACGCCUCGCUAGUGGCGGAUUCAAAGGCGAGAAGAGCUGAUGUUAUUGGUCAAUACAGGUCUCGGCUGUGUUAAACCCACUCAACGCCCUCUCUCCUCCCUCCCUAUGACCUACGCCGCUGGAAGGAGCUGAGUUAGGGGAGGGGGGAUACUUAUGCCGGGCUGCACAACUCACCAAAAUACGAAAAUGUGCUUGGAAACGCCUUGUCGGCGCGGUGGUUAAUUGCAUUAACGGUAUGUUCAGUAUGAAAACAAGGAGUUAUUAGUUCUUAAUCUAUUUUCACCUAUUGACCUAUUGUCAAUCGGUUUAAAAACACAUUUGUUCAAUAACAUAUGCAAUGUCAUCAACUCCGUCAGUUUCUCGUCAACUCCGUCAGGUGUUCGUCAACACCGUCAGAUGUAUGUUUUUCUUCAAUUUUGGAGAAAAAAAAAAUUGUUUCUUCAGUUUAUAUUGUUUAAGUAAUAAAGGAGCAUUGGCGCUACAUCCUCUUGUGUCUUAUUUACUUACAGAAAUUGUUUUUACAAUAUAAAAAUUAAAAACAAAGUUUGAAAAUGCAACUAUUUAGAAAUCUUGGUUUUCAAAAUAGUGUGAAAUCACACAUUAGGUUUAUAUAUUAUAUUUCAUGGCAUAUCAGAGUAACUAAACACUAUUACAACAUACAUCAGAACUUUAGAUUCUUGUUGGACUAGAAUUAUUAAAAUUAUAUUCUUUUUUGAGUGUCUGAUGGAGUUGACACAAAUCCACUGUCUAAGGGAAACAUGUUAAUUUAUAGAAAAAAUGUUUUUAUUUAGAGCCUGUUCCUUUACGGGGUUAAAUAGCUAAGACCUUUCUCUACAGUAAUAAAUAACUCUAAUCAAUAUAGUGUGCAUUCUCAAAAAAAGUUUUUUAGGAAGUGUUUUGUCCCGACUCUCAAGAAUCCCUGAGUGAACGUAAUGGCAACAAUAUAAAAGAUGAAUCAAAAAGAAACAGAGAGGAGAAAAAUGUGUCUGUUAGAGCUUUGCAGCUGAGUGCAAAACUUGUCAUGCACAAGUUUGUGCUAAUGUUGGAUCAAUAUAUAUCGGCCAAUACUGAAGGCUACAAUAUUUAUAUCAUAUCGAAAGUAAAAAAGUUGCAUCGGGACACCCCUAGUGUAGCUGUUUUAAAAAAUGAGACACUUCUCAUUGACUAUAGCUUGCUCUGAAGGGGCUUGGGUUGAGAACUGGGAGCUGAUCCUGUCAAGUCCUGGUACAGACCAAAGCAUGGAUAUUGGACUGGUGAUAAAUAAGCGACUAGAAGUCACUUUUCACUCUAGCAGUAUGAGUACUUCUCGCUUGAAAAAGGUGUUAUCAUUAUUUUUAUUUUUGGUCUUCUACUUAAGUGUGUACUCUUGUCUGGGACAACAUUGAGGUGGCAUGUAUCAAACAACACCUCGACUCGACUCAUCUCAACUGUAAAAUGUAAACGUGUUGAUUGGUGACUCUGUUACCAUCAGAGGUACGAAGGAAACGCUCAACUAAACAAGACCGAUUUAGAGACAGUCAGUACUUUUUCAAAAUAAAUCUUAUGAAGUAAAGUGUUGCUCCACCUGUUCUCUCUACUCUUGUUGUUGGUCUCUAACUGCUGUCAGAGGGCUGUGCAGUUAAAGGAUUUAUUUUAAGAGCAGAAAAAUGACUUAAAGAUCCACACUACGACUAGUAAAAUUGUAUUGAGUCUUUUAAUCAUUUUAUGCGCUUUAAACACACUGCAUAUCUUGUAUAAAUUCCUGUGUUUUUGAAAUAUUUGUAUGUAUUAGGGCUGGGCGAUAAACCGAAUAUUUACCGAUACCGAAAUUUAUGACAAUAGCCAAUGUCAUUUUGCCCAUGUCAACAUAUUCAGUGUCAUAAAAAUAAAUAAAUCAAAGUUGGUUUUAGAUGUGUGUUGGUAGUCUAUGGUCUCAUGUCCCUUUAAGACACUGUCCUAUGUCGGAGACGUGACUCCACCCCAGGUGAGGAGAUGGAGGACGGUUCAAAAGUUGAAGCGGCUGACCCGGCGAUCAUGUGUACGACUCACCCAGUGGCUCAAUAUAUUGUGAUAUCGAUUUGAGGCCAUAUUGCCCAGCCCUAAUUUAUAUUACAGAAAAGGAAAACUAGCAUUUAAAUAUCAUGCAUCCAUACUCUAAAUUAAGACAGCAGAAUCCUGAUAUCUUGUUUGGACAGCACCCAUAUCAUCUUACUUUUUGUUUAGACCAUCGUACCUUGCAGUCGUUUAGGGCCACAUAAUCCUGCUACAAUAUAUAUUCAUAUUGUUCAUCAUCCUGUCACAGCUUGUGGAGCUGUCUAUCUGACAGUGCAGGGAUCUUACCCUUCACUUCCUGCUCCAUGUUCUGUCCAAAAGUUAUAGACCUCCCAAAUCAGUGAGUAGACAGCUGUAGUAUGAACCCGUGCUUCAGGACAGAUGGAAACUGUCUGUUGCACACAGAAAUGUCAUCACUGUACCUGCAUCAUGCAUCUUCAUUAACAGAGCACGGAUAGGCACCAGGGGAAAUAUACCCAGUUUGAUGGGAAUGCUCAAGUGUAGUAUGUUAAGCUCAAUGUGGAGCACAGCAGGCAAUUUGAAUUCAUUGUGUGUGCAGAAUCAGCCUAUUAGUGGCAUUUAGCUUUCAGUGCUGCAAAGUCUACACAAAUAGUGUGUCGGCGUGCCUGUAGGAGUGUGUGUGUGUGUGUAUGUGUGCAAUAUACUGCAAGGCAAAGUGACAACAAGAGACCUUAACAUCGUAAUGCAUUGUGUGGUGUAGAAGUGGUGCACAUUAUCAGGCUGCUGUAUACUCUGACAUCUGCUCCUUGUUCAGUAGGAGAGAGGGACACUAUCCUCUGGGUAGGGCUGAGGUGGUUUGAUGAAGGGGAAGGAGGGGGAGGCUAAGGUCUCACUUGUAAUUGAGGAGUGGAAUGAGGAAAUGUGGACAGGAAAAAGGAAAAUGGUUGGAGAGAAGUGUGGGUGAUAUGAGAAAUGUUUUUUGCUUGCACCUCCCCUCUGUGUGCGUGCGUGUGAGGGAUCAUGUGUACGACUCACCCAGUGGCGAGAGCAGAGGUUGUGGGUGCCUUGAGAUGGAGCUUGAUGGCAGGGUAUAGUAGUGGCUGCACUGAGGUAAUGCAGAACUCUCUCUCUCUCUCUCUCUCUCUCUCUCUCUCUCUCUCUCUCUCUCUCUCUCUCUCUCUCUCUCUGUAUGUGCGUGUGUGUAAGAGAGAAACUUGAAGAUUGUAACACAGAGGCAAUAUCAGCGGCAAUAUUGGUGGUCUUAGAAGGGGCUUGAGCGAGCAAGACCCGAGGGAGUUUGUUUCUCUCUCUCACUUACUUUGUCGGUCCCUCCUUCUCUUUUUGUGUGUGUUUGUGUGCGCCCGUGUUUGUGUGUGUUUGUGUGUAAUGGAGCAGCAGCUCUGUGCCUGCAAAGCGCAAUCAGUUCCACCAAGCUGACAUUCCACCAGCGCCUUCCUUCCCUCUGCAUUGCCUCGCUUCACCCCCACCGCCAUCACCCCGCCCUGAGUCUCGGCAAGGAUGCAGUGGCGUGAGCGAUAAGGCCAAUAUUACUUUGGGAUAAAAGUGGAAUUAGCUUCCUGCUGUGAAAAAUGGGCACAGCGAGCUGUGAUGGAGCGCCAGGGGGUUUCAGGAGGGGGGGGGGGGGACAGGGCUUUACAGGGUGUGUAAAAAGUCUGUGUGUGUAGUGAGGAUUUUUUUUUUUCUUGGGGGCGUUAGGGGGGGUUAGUUGUUCUAAUAUUAUUUCACCACUUUGAGAAAAGUAGCCUCACAACAACCCUUCAAUGUCAAAAUCAAAGAGAAAGAGAUAUCAUAGGACAACAAACCCCUGAGGACGAGUAAAAUAAAUCCAACCAAGUUAGAUUAUAGCAAGUGCAAUGUGGCAAAGGUUUGUCAGAUCUGAUACUCUCUUGUAGGGCUGGGCGAUAAAUCGAAAAUUUACCUAUAUUGAAAUUUACAAUAACCAACGUCAUUUGGCCCAUAUCAGUAUAUUCGGUGUCAAAUAAAUAAAUAAAAGUUGAUUUUGGAUGUGUGUGUGACUCCACCCCAUCCAGUCCAUAACAAAGAUGGAAAGACAGGUGAGGAGAUGGAGGACGGUUCAAAAAUUGUAGCGGCUGGAGCGGUGGCUGAAGUAGAGGAAGUUAAUGUGGGAAGGGUUGAGCAACUUGUGGAGUAGUUAUCGUCCAUUUAUCGUUAUCAAGGUGAACUGCUUGAUAUAUCAUGAUAUUGAUUUAAGGCCAUAUCGCCCAGCCCUACUUUCUUGCUCUCUUCAGCUAGAGCUUAUUUUUAAGAGAGACCCCUGCUCUCUCUGGAUGGUCACUAAUUUUGCUCAAAACAAAAUGUUUGCUUUCUCUUAUGAACAGUUAUUUUAUCCUUACCUGUUUUUCUAUGUAAAUACCAACCUCCUGUUAUGAAAUAUAAAUUAGCAAACUGCAGUUCCUUGAGUGUCCACUUGUGGUGGGCUCCAGAAGAUCUAGAAGUUCUGUAAAACCCAUGUUAAAUCAAACAUGAUUACAGACUGCUUCAAAAACAAACAUAGUGUUGGUGCCAUCAACUGCAUGAAGAAUGGACGCUGUCUGCCUCCUCGCUGGGUGAAGUCACCGUGAGAACAGCACCCUCUGGUGACGGGCUGCAGUAUAGGUCAUAAAUCCCACCUCCUCUGGCAAUCUCUAUGGAGCUGUAGGCAAGCUUUAGAAACUAAUUACACAGAAUAUACAUUUUUCUCCCCCCUGGUUACGAUAUUUACAUGUAGUUACUGUCAGACUGGUUUGUUUUCAAGUCCCCUUUUUUCUGUGCAGCUUCAUUUUUAAAAGUUAUUAGUUUUCUAUGAUUGACACUUGAUACAGCCUAUGGGUGUUCAAAGAUUGCAUAGCUCACCUGUUUGAUACGCUGUUUGAGCCGAGCAUCACCACAGCGACUCUCAGUGACUCUCGCCGAAUGCGUACAACGCUACCAAGCAAGUGGUGGUUUAGAAGAGGUGCCAAGUGGAGACGAAAAUCAAGAAAUGAGAAAGAGAAAAAUGAAAAAGGGAAGGGGAGAAAGGGGAGAAAGGGGAGAUUUAAAACAAGCAAAGCUGAUGGGAUCCAAAGACUACAGCCUGAGGGGUCUUUUUGUGUUUCAGAGUCCCCAGAGGUGGACUCUAUCCUCACUUGUAGAGCACAUUGAAACCUGUCAUGAAAUUCAGGCUCGGUUUGAGAUGGUUUAGCCUCCCAUUUACACAUAAACCUUUACCCAGUGCGGCCAAACCCUCAGUGUUGUUUUGCUGUUGCUCUCAUUUAGGUGUAACACCUCGUUUCUUAACACAGCCCACUUGCCUGAGGGAAGAAAGGUUGGAGGUGAUAUAGCUUAUCAUUGUCCAGAUCAGGGUAAAUACAGUACAGGAAGGGAUCUGAAAUAUUGAUGAAGGCCCCACAUGAAGCCUGCAGCUCUGAAGUCUGGCUUCUAUAGAGUGCUUUAUCAUUCUAGGCUGUAAAUGAGCAGCAGAAGAGGGAGAGGCCCUCAGGGCAGUUAGUGAGAGCCAGGAGCUAGGCUCCAACCAAGGACCUCCCUCAAAGAUAAAAACAGAGUAUUUAGAUGAACAUAUUCCUCUCUCUCUUGUAUUAAUUAGCCUUCAUUUAUGCUUUAUAGUCUCUGAAGUUCAUCUCACUAAGAACAGAUUUCUGCACCAGUCUGUAUUUGCUCCGCUCUGUGUAAAGACUAGUCUAUUUUUCUUUCAUAUGUAUAAAUUCGAUAUAAUCUGGCUAUUGAGUAGAAGCGGCAAAGUUUGAUUUCUGCUUCAUUUCCUGAAAAUCUAUGAAAACCAAAAGGGAGUUAUCGUUUCUAGAAGAACAGAAAUUGCCCGGGCUGAAACUGCUGGAGGCAGAACUCUCUUUGACACAAAAACUGUCAUCCAAACAGAUUUUGUUACAUUUCAUUUUAUGGAAAUGAGAUUUCAAUUUUUGCACUUCCCAUUAUCCUGUUGCUGUUGGCUCAGUUUGAUUCUGCAGUGUACCCCAGACUCUUCCAUUUGUAUUUCUGCCCCUUUUUUCUCACCAACAUCAGAUGCUUUGACAUCAGGACACAGCCAGCAGCUCUCCCCGCGACACGUCUUUGAGCUUUUUUUGUUAUUUGACACUUUCAACAUUGCUCUCAUUUACAUAUUUAGCGUAAUCCCUCCCUGUGGAGCUGCCCAUGAUAACGACCAUGUUGCGAAAUGAGUGGCGGUGCGUGUGCCAGCGAGCCAUGUGGGCUCAGGGGCUCUGAGGUUUGCCAGUUGGCACCGCGGAGAGGCUGCCAAGGUUGGUAGCUGUAAUUGAAAAGGGUCAGCGGCUAUGUUGACUGAUAAGGGGAAGAAGCAGGAAACUAGAGAAUAAAGGACAGAAUGAGGGAUGUAUUAAAAAAGUUAGAAAGUGAAAGAUGAAGACUAGUUCAAUGAGAUAACUGGGGGUUUUAUAUAAUGAUGGGGAGGGUGCUUAAGAGACUAGAACUCUUGCCCCGUGUCACGCUGCUACACACUCCCAUUUAAAUCAGUUAAUUGGUGCGAGGCUGCGUGGAGGGAGAUUGACGAGUGUGUUGCCAUGAGACGACUUGGCUGCUAACUAAGAGGAGCUCUGGGAGGGAGGGGAAUGAUUCUGUGUGAGCUUGCAUGAAUAACCUUUUGCAUAAAUCUGUGUGCAUUUUUGCACUCAUGUGUCUGUGUGCGCACACUUGCAUGUCGUGUAACUACACGUGGGUGCGGUUGUAUUUGGGGAGCGCGGGGGGGGGUUAACAGUCGAGAAACAGACAGCAGAGGAGGGGUUGAUGGGGGGCUGUUGUAAUCUGUGGGGGUACCCGUGUGAAACAAGCGUGGAAGGUGGAGAGGGAAAAUCUGUUAUUUUGCGUAAUUAGCUCAUAAUUGUGUCUCUGACUGUCAGUGAUUGCUUUGUUUAUUAGAGAGAGAGGGGCAAAUGAACUCCUGGUGCUUUGACUCAAUGUCUGCAAUUCCUGCUGUCAGUAUUUGUCAUUAACCGUGUGUCCCAUGAGGUCCUGUUUGUUUAUGUACAGUAGACAGUUGGGUUAUUGGUAUUGUAGUAAAAGAUAACCUCAGUCAGCAUGACAGUGUGUGGUAAAGAGGAGGACUUUUUCUUUCUCUGUUGUUCUGCCAUUGACUCAUAAUUCACUCAACUCUGGUUAGACUCCACUUAUUGUCAGAGCAGGCGUUACUUUCAAAAGAAAACUACAGUCAAAUCCAGGGAUGGGAAUUGAUAAGAUUUUAUCCAUAUCGAUGCCAUUAUCGAUUCUGCUUAUCAAUUCAAUUCUUGAUCGAUUCCCUCAUCAUUGCUUGUCUUCAAUUAAAAAAAAGGAGACUAUAGUUUUUCACCAUUAAAGGUGGGGUAGGCAGGAUCUGAGGAAGUGCCAGUUUUUGGGAGAAAUCUUGAAUGUAAACACUACCCCUUCCAACCAGUUUUCCCCUCACUAACUUUGUAUGGGCUCGUGCACGUCAUUGGAGGACGUGGAGCAUGCCUCACAACUUGAGGAAGCAGCAUCUGCCCAACAACCAAUCAGGUCGGGGAGGCAGAGAAUGGCUUUGUUUACAGUCAGAAAGAGUGGGCCGCUCAAAAAUGUUAAAAUGUUGACUACACAGACAUAACAAAACACAGCGAUAUCGUUUCAUUCCUAAAUGUCAUCAAUAACUAAUUGGUUACUAACUAAUAGCUAUUGACUGAUUUUAAAAGCUUUUUUGUAGAUACACCACAAAAAAAGAUGGUUCUUUAAUGGAAUCCUGCCUACCCCACCUUUAAAUGAGAUCAGAUGGAUUGUAAACAUCACCAAAAGAAGUACCUCCAAACCUGCAUUCGUAUAAAGCGUAUAUUAUCAUUCCAUGUAGUGUUUUUACUCUGCUGUGCACAAGUUUCAGAGGAAGGACCCAGGGGGCAGCACGAACAUGGAGUUCUGAUUUGAGAGAAAUGCUGUGCGGUUUGGGGUGCAUCCUUGUUGUGAAUUCCCAGCAUGUCUGAAGCACUUUACUUGGAGAAAUGAUAACCGCCUGAGACUGUCUCUGAGGAAGCACAUGAGCAGACCACUGAAAUACUGUGGUUCUCAGAGACAAAGUAACAACAGUAAUGGAACUGUGCCGGCUUGCUUGGGUAGUUAAACAAAGCACCUCGCUCCAAGAUGUGCACUUUUCUAAUGAUUAUUUUUAGGGUUUUUGGAUGAGACAGCUCGAGUGAAACAGGAAAUAUAAUGAAAGAAGGAAAGAGAGGAGAGGAAAAGAAAAUCAGAAGUUUUGCCUCACUCUUGGUGCAGACUGGUCUUACCUCUGUACUUCUGUUUACUUCCCUUGUGCCCGUCAAGUUUGAUGUUGGCAAGUAACAGCCUUGUAAAAAUAUGACUAACUGCAUGAUUGUGGGUUUUAACCAAUAACACGCUCGUCUAGAGCGUUUAGCAAAUGUAACUUCUGUUAAAUCUCAUUCUGUUCAAUAAUAAACGUCUUAUUUCUGCCAUAAGUACCCGGUUGCUAUAUUGUUGAAAUACCUUUUAUGUGAGUUAGCAUGUCAGGAAAUUACAUAUAUUUUUAGUAGAAGUUGCACAAUUCAAAUAGUGAAUAGAAUCAAUUUCUAAAAGGCCAGCUCAGAUGUAAAAUAGACUCCUGGGUUUUAAAAAGUCUGAAACUGGGGAGCACUGGCCGUGAACGCUCCAUAUACUGAGGGUAUGCCACAAGCGGACAACCCAUGUUUGAUCCCAGCCUGUGGCGUCUUUCCUGCAUUUCACCCCUUGCUCUCUCUCCCUAUUUCCGGUUCCAUCCACUGUUCCAUCCUCUUUACAAAGGCUUUUCAUUAUUUUGUAAUACUGGGGUGUAAUCUGCUACAAAAAGCAAAAGAAAAGAAAAAAUACUAUGAUAGAAUUUUUUUGCCAUGUUGGUCACCCUUAAUAGUUCCUAAAAGCCAUUAAGCCAUUAGUUUUUGUUUGAACCAAAUCAAGUCAAGCUAAUGUUUAUUUAUAGAGCACAUUUAAAAUAAACAGGUACAGCUGAACCAAAGCACUUACUCUAAGCUGGUAAACUGCCCUGAAUUUCUAUUUACCACGAGUAAUUUUAGAGGAACUGCUUUUACCUAAAAGUGUCAGUCAGAUGGAGGCAAAGUGCCCAGAUAAAGUUUUAAAUAGGGGUGUCCCAAUACAAUUUUUUUUUUUUUUACUUCCGAUAAAAUUCUGAUAUUGUAGCUUAAAGUAUUGGCUGAUAUCGUUGUUGAUAUCUGAUAUUGGCACAAACUUAUGCAUGACAAGUUUUGCACUCAGCUGCAACGUCUUUAUCAGACUUUUUCGUGAUUCGUCGAGUUUAGUCUCUUUGCUGAAGAAAUUAGGCAAAGCUAAAAAGAUGUUUGAUGGCUAGUGCUGUGGCCGAGACCCUAUAUGUACUAUUGAUGAAGUUAGGUGCUGUUCUGAGCAUUAUUUGUUGCUAUAGAGUGGCGUUUUGGUUGAGGUUUGUUUAUGGCUCUGCAGACCACUGUGUAUUGUUAUCAUGCGGUCAUUACUAAAGUUGAUAUAACUAGAGAAGCCAGCGGUCAGUAACAUUCAUCUCUCGAGGAGUUGUCUAACUCGGUGUUACAGUGUGUUUGACCCUAAAUUAAUUUUACACUGGAAUAUCCCUUUAAAGUCAGCACUCCAAAGACAAACCUUAACUCUAACUCUACAUUGUGUGUAACAACUGUAAAAGCGUUUAUUUGUAUCGCUGUCUACUCAUAUAAACCCACGCGUGCACUUGCAGUUUCGAGCUGUAAAUUAUGGAAACCAUGCGAAGGCUUUUGCUUUAUUCUCCAUCUCUCCCGCUAUUCUUCCCUGUCUCUCACCUUCGCACAUUAUGAUAUAGAUAUUCUCACAGUGAAAGUACCAAAUGACCUUCAGCUGUCUCUCUACUGCUCUUCGCUUCUCCUCUUUCUGUUGUCUUCUAAAAAUAGACCCCCCCUUCCCAAUCAUCAGUGGAGUGCUGCGGCUGGCCCUGUAGGCACAGGCUUUGGCAAGAGGGUGCCAGAGAUGAGCCUAAUUAACUCAUUGAGAUGAGGAGAGCAAGGUGGAGGGGGGUUGGGGGUGAGGUAAAGAGAGAGAAAGAGGGACAGAGACGGGGGGGUGGGGGUGAAUAAUGACAAAGAUGGAGAUGGUGAAAGAUGGAGUGGUGCAAAGAGGAAGAUGAGGAGGAAAAGGGGAGUUAGAGGAGGAGAUAAUGAGAAGGAGGGGUCAGCAACAGAGAGAGGAGAGGCAAAGAAAGGGUCUCUGGGGCAAGGAUAUAGUAGUGAACAAGGGAGAGUGAUGGAGAGGAGCACUAAUUAGACGAAGGACCAAAGCUCCUCCUCACGUUACACGGCAGGAGAGGAGGAAUGGAAGAAAGGAGGAAUGAAGAUAGAUGAGUCGGGCAGCUGCAGCGCAAAGAUAUGAAAAGGAAAUAUGUAAUCUUCAAUAAAGAGCAAGCGAGUGACGGCAAUCUAGCCAACUCAAUUAGCCCAUGUCUAUAAAACAAACUGCUCUUAAUCGGCUCUGUCAGACACUCAUAGGCAAAUGAACUGGCUGCUUCCUGCAGGGAGCAAGGAUAGAGAGGGGAAAGAGAGAUAACGACAAAGAUGGAGACACCCCAUCACCACCACUCCACCUCAUAGCACUUAUCUGACAUCCGUACCAGUGGCUAAGGAUGUUCAUUUUGUUACCUCCUCAUUUUCUCAACAUACUCUAUUGCUGUCCUCUCUAUGCUGCCUCUAAUCCUUUUGACCUCCUUCAAGGUAAACAGUUAAAGUGCAUAUCAAUACCUUUAUCUAUUCCCAUAAUGCUUUAUCAGAGCUAAUUUCUCAUAGUUUUGCAUUUGAUCACCUUUUUAGACCUUUUUGCUCCUAAUGUCUUCCUAUUGUCCGUUAUCUGCUACAAUAACCCUAAAAGGUUUCGUUUACUUAACCUCAAACUCUCUCCUUAGAAGAUAUGUAGAAACUAUAUAAACAUUAGAAACAUUCAAUGCAGCAUUUCAUCUUUUUGUAGAGUGAAGUGCUGAUGAUCAUACUCUUCCUAUUUAGCUGUCUCUUGGUUGUUGAUUUAACUUUGUGUGUGGUUAUUGUAUAAAGGCUAUCCUUGUCGGUUCAGUCAGUCAUAUGCUUAAAAAACUUUGUUUCACUCGCAAUAUGUAGAAGUUGUUCGAUCAUGUUCUUCUCUGAACUUAGUGCUUAGUUUUGCAUUUUUUAAUUUUGAUGACUUCGAUAUCUCAGAUGGCUUCCUCACUAUCACUUUCCACCUGAGGGGGACCAGUCACACUGUUGUGGUGACAAAAAUGUAAGACAGCUUAUUGACUCUGAUCAUUUAGGGCUAUAAAAACAACUCUUGGAUUGGCAAAGGAAAGCCUAGAUUUUGUCUCACAAUAGGACAUGUAUGUUAGAGCUGGGCGAAAUGGCCUAAAAACAAUAUCACGAUAUAUAAGCAGUUCACCUCGAUAACGAUAAAUGGAGGAUAACUACUCCACAAGCUGCUCACCACCUCCCACAUUAACUUUGUCUACUUCAGCUGCUGUUCCAGCCGCUCCAACUUUUGGACCGUCCUCCAUCUCCUCACCUGUCUUUCCUCUCAGUUACAGACUGGAUAGGGUGGAGUCAUGUCUCUGACGUAGGACAGCGUCUUAAAGGGACAUGAGACCAUAGCCUACCUACAUACAUCCAAAACUAACUUCUAUUUAUUUAUUUUUUUGACACCAGAUAUAUUGACAUUGGCAAAAUGAUGUUGGUUAUUGUCCUAAAUUUGGUAUCGGUAAAUUUUCGGUUUAUUGCCCAGCCUUUAUGCACGUGGCUUUAUAGCCCUGGACAAACUUCAAACCUCUGUCCAGGGCUUUUUUUCAUGCUAAAUCCCACUGAAAACAGGGUUUAAAUUUUGAAUCACAAAAACCAUCAUACUUACUUUUUAUUUAUUUUUUUGUUCUAUUUUAGGCACUCACUGGUUUCCAUUCAUUUCCAUUUGAAAUUUAUCAGCCCACUGUUCGAAACCAGCGCAAUGACUGUCAGGUCUGCAUUAAUUUAGUCUUUAGUUACAUUAUUAUAGUGAUUUAAUUUAUUGUAGAGUUGUGAAAAUAAUCUAUGUUUAAAUAUGCAUUACCACUCAGUAAUAAUGGAACAUUGACACAAAUUUAUGCAGACUCGAUGCCUUUACUAAUGGCAGCCAGCGCCCUGUCUUUAACUGCAGGAAAAAUACAUUAAGGAAUCUAAUGAAUUUGACUGAAAUGUCAUUGGGUUGAUCCAUGUACAGAGAAGUCCAAGUCUAUCAAAAUGUGCAAAAUGUAAGGCAUUAAAAGAAAAAGUUUGGCAGAAACAUGAGUAUAAUAUUCAUCACCAAAGUUGUAAAAAUGCAAAUAUCCAAGUAUUUUGAUUAAAGUUGCAUCAAGUUUUGUCUUGUUUUGGUUUUUAACUCACAGCCUGAGCCAUAGCUCUCUGUGCCUGCCCCGCUGUCUUGCAAUUGGUGGCCCCAGAUGAGUGUCCUGGCGCAGGCUCGCUGUAAUUACUAAACAGGAGGAACAAGUAGGCUAAUUAACACGUUAACAAGCAGCAACCAGCCGACAAGAGCCUACAGCACCGCCAACCGAGGGUCUGACAGCUUCAUCCCCCAUCUGUCACCAGACACACAUGCGCACAGACGUGCCCCUGUGUGUGCAUUUGUACGUGUGCCUCAGCGCACAAUAGCGUCCACCCCUUCUGCAUAGAGGAGGUGAGUGGAUAGUGUUGGAGAGUGGUAGAGUUGAGUGCCUUUUGUUCAUGGUCGUUGUUGGUGCAUUUGUGCUGCAGUGCACAGGUGUCCCUGCUCAGGUAUGCCAUACAUCACAGUUGGCAUCACCCAUCUCUGUGCAUUCACCAACACAUCAUGGAAACAAAAAGUUGAUUUUAAUUGUGAUAAAUGUUAUUGGAAACUAUAUCGAAACUCCAACCCUGAUAUUUCUUUAAUUGUCGUGGUGACCCGAACAUGAAGAAAAGCGUAUCAAACCAAAAGAAAGGUGCAUGUUUCCACAUGGUAGUUAUAUUGGAGCACCAUGUAAUUUAACUCACAUUCAUUCUGACAGUUGUGGUUUCUUAAAAAGAGAACUUUUCAGUGGGCACAGACAUGGCGCUGAGCUUUUGAAAAGGUUUUGAGGAAGGUUAGUCAUCAAAUAGGCAAGAAAGUUUUAAUCGUGGUGGAGUACGUCAGGACAAGGUUUGUGUCGCUGAGAGUAGAAAGAAAAGAUGAGGAGAUCAUUGGAAAACAAACAUCCAGCCUUUAUAGAAAUUUCAGUCGGUUUGUAAUGUCUCUUCAUGGUCAGCAAUGAGAAUGUAGAGGAAAAAAUAAAAGCAUGGCACACAUGGUUAGAUUCAUUUCAAGUCAUUUGGCGACAGAAACAAAUUGUUGAUGCAUAACAAUCUCACCAAGUGAGGCACAAUAGCUAAAACUAGCUAUGUUACAGUCUGAUCUGUGUGAUAACUUGAUUCCAGAGAGGCCCCUAAACAUUGUAAAGAGAGCAGUUUUAAUCGUUCCUCACAUAGAUAGAGUGCACCGCUCAUUGUCAGGUACCUUGGCUGUAUUGAUCUGACUGCAAAGACAAAAUAACUCCUGGAUCUCAUCCAGGACAAGACUGAAGGUUCCUCUGAGAUAGUGUCUUCCUUUUUAAUUCAAUUUUAUCAUUUCAGAAAGUAAGUAUGUGUUGUAUAUUAGGGAUGGUAUGGUGUUGUAAGCCCACAACUCAAUAUAGUACCUAAAAAGUUUAACAAGACUGAAAAACCCACUCUGACGAAAAUCAUGUUUUUCUUGUUGUCUACAUGUUCAUAUGGCAUUUUUUUAAUGCAAAAGGACGUGAGAAAAAUAAGUACAAAAUUGCAUUUCUGCAUUGAAAUUGCUGUGAAUCUCUGGCAGACCCAAACAGCAGGAUCAGACACAGUGAGAUUUUCUAUGUCACAAUUCCAAGCUCCACCCCCCAGAGCCCUGCUAUGCAGGCCAGACUCGGAGAAAUAGAGAAGAAGAUUGCGGGACAAGCGCGUGUGUUAGCGGAUUGCAAUGCUCAUGAUUUUGACUAAAAACAUCAUAAUCAUAAUUUAAAGGCCACUGAUAAUACUUUAAGUGGUAAGUAUUAUUAUUAUUAAAAACAAUCAGAGUGGGACUUUAAAGGAAGAAAAUGGAGAUGCUCGUCACAAACAUAUGUGAGGAGUGCAGAGCAAGUGAACACUAGUUUUUCAAUCAUAGAUGGUGAUCAUGGAUGAGUGAUCAUAAAACAAAGAAAAAUACAGGCAAAUAUAUUUGAGUAGGUGUAAAUAUAUGUAUCGACUCUGUCCGCCAUCAUGCACCAGUUCUUUCCUCCUCCAUCAGUUCUGCUCCUCUCUCUCUCUCUCUCUCUCUCUCUCUCUCUCUCUCUCUCUCUCUCUCUCUCUCUCUCUCUCUCUCUCUCGCUGCCAGGUUCUGCCAGCUGUGUCAGCACGGCCCACUAGGGUUAACCAGCAGCGGUUAAUGUGGAACACGGCCAUCUGGCACAGAUACAGAGAGCCCUCUAUUACCGUCACAUUGCUGGUAUACCAUUACAUGGAGAUGAAUACGUCUAGACAUGAUCAAUUGGACAGACAAUCUCUGGUCUGAUACCAACAACCGGUCUGCUGCUCAGUAAGGCCGGGUUUAGACUUAGGUCAUUACAGAUGUAGGGACUAGAUUAUCGGGCAAUUUGAGAGAUUAACAGACCUAGAUUUAAACCCCCCAGACAGUUUGCACACUCAAUUUAGCAGCCAAACCUGUUAGGAUUCAAAAUGAUCAAAAUUAACCAAGGACAUACAGAAGUUUGCAUUGAUAGGGUUUGCCGUUGACACACUCGGCUUUCUUCAUUUGAUCUAACAGGACAAGACACCUCUGUGUGUGAGAGCCUGUUUGUAGUUACAGCUCCAGCUGUUUGUUUACAUGCUCUGUCUCUUGUGCUCCUACAAGACCGUUUGCGCUCUGGAGUUGCCCUCGGCCAGUUGAUACAACACGCUGGUCUCUGUUUUGUUUACAUCUGCAUCCCUGGGAUUACAAACAAGAUUAUAUAGGAUCACACAAGUUGCUAUGUUGUCUCCUCUGGCACACACAGCUAUCUUAAUAUUUCGGUGUAGUGUGUGUGUGUGACUUGUUAAUAUCUUCAAAUCUUGUUCCGUGCAAGUUUGAGAUGAUAGUGGAACACGAGUUUCUUCUUAUGAGUGUAAAUUGGGUCCCGAUUUAAUUGGAUAGGAAUCUUCAAACUUGUCAUAGCGUAGCUUGAGGUUCAAAAAUACACACAUGGGAGUCAAACUUUUAUUUUUGGGCCGCUGCUCAGACUCGUGUCAAAGUUUGCGUGGGCCUUCUGAUGAUGAGUUUGUCACAGCCAUGAAGUACAAUCUGCAGCUUGGAAGUGUUUUUGCUCACAGCUCAUUUAGCAUUCUUGGGAGAGCAGCCAGGAGGAGAGAUCUGUGUCGAUAACAUAAAAGGCUGUAUGAAGAGUUUUAAAGCAAACCAACGCAGCUGCAUCGCUCCAUGUUUCCAGCGUGUGUCCUUGCCUGCAGGAAAGAAAACAGAUGCAGUUAUUUCACAAUUGUUGACGUCGUAGCGCCGAUUUCUGUUUAAGUGCAGGAUGGAUUAGAUAAGGGUUUACUGUGUGCUUUUUCUGCUCACCCCUUUCUCAUGUCUCAUUCCACACUCGGAGUCCAAGGCGCUGCUCUUAUUCUGUUGUCAAGACAACCGCACACAUCAGCUCUGCCUGUGUGACCACUUGUCUGUCUGCCUGCCUGCGCCUGUCAGUCUUUUUUUUUUUUAUUUGUCUGCUACUUUUCAAAUAUCCAAGUUCCUCGCAGACUGAGAGCGAUGUUUGGUUGCAGUUUUGGCUGCAGCAUCAGCGUGACGGAUCACAGAGAGGCUGCGUCUGACUGAUAAAAUGGUUAAUUUGGAGGCUUAUGCUGAUGCUGGUAAAAAUAGACUACCCGAGCUUCUAUUUUUCAUAAGUUGAAAAUGUAAGCUCAACAAGCACUUUUUUUUUCCCCCUGACCCUGUUGUUGUCUAAUCAGCGUCUUAUUGUGUCUGAGCCUGGGGUCUGCAGCAUCACACUGUCUCAACAAACAGCACGCUCUCCCCAGCGGCACGGCUCUGCCUCAUAUCCAAUUGGUUUGAUUUUCUCUCCGAAGGAAUACAAGAUGCACACACCCCCCACUGCAGCCUCGUGAAGUGUGGCGGAUAGUGUUUUCACGCAGUGUCGACCCUGCUCUCUUCUCAUUCAUCAGGCUGUGUAUUUGCAUUUUCAAUUAAUGGCCAGCGUCAUGCGCGGCGACUCCGAAAGCAUCCCCAGCUUUGUGUGCGACCCUUAAUUGCAAUCAUUACGCAACGCAAGCAACCCGCCUUUGAGUGUUCAAUUGUACACUGCGUUUAAUUAUGGGAACAGAGUUAAAAGCAUUACUCAACAGUCUAAUAGACCAGAUACUGGAGCGGUUUUCUCUGAAAAUGAAUGAAAUGAUGGUUGAAUGCUGAACGCUUAAUUACUCACCGUUGUGUUUGCAGAUUUGCUAUGCUGCAAUUCAAAGAGGAAGCAUGUUUAUUGGAAAAACUCAAACAACACAGGUACAAGAACAUUCAAACCUUUCUUUUUAAAGCCUGAGAGUUUAUUGACCUACAUUUGGUGAAUUAAAAACAGGGGUAGCUAUGCAAGGGAACUUUGAAUGACUGAAUGAAUGAAGUUUAUUCAUUAGGAAUAUGUUCAAAAGAGAAAAUUAAGAGAAAAAAUACAGAAUAAUAUUCGAGAAGAAGUGGGAGGAAGUAAAACUUAUCAAGUCCCGCCCUUUCUCCAUCAGCUUUUCUGCAAAAGUGCUUCCAUAUACAGUACACAUGCAUAUUUUUAUACAAAUGAAAACAGUUUAUACAAAGGCUGCAUGAUAUUGGAAAAACUAACAUAGCAAUUUUUUUUCAACCCUGCGAUUCAUAUUGCGAUACUUAAAAAUACAGUAGAUGACCUGAGUAGCACUUUAUGCUGCACUGCUGAAAUCUUGAGGACAGUUAACCUGCACUGAUCUUACCUCUUUUUGUGAAUGUUAGUAGAAUGGCUUCUGUAUGUCUCAGAGAUAUUUUUAGCUUUUAUUGUUCUGGGACGUUAUUGUGGUGACAGAUGAACACAGAACACGUGUUAUGGUCUAAGUCUAAGUCAGAUAAGUGACGUUGCUUUUCUUUUUGGCGACAAGUUUGGUUUUCUCUUGUUCGUUUCUCAAUUUGCAAUCGUUGUUGUUGUUGUCGGUGUUGUGCUGGGAAACGCAUGACAGCCAAGAAUUGCAUGCACCUCGCAAAACGCGCACCGCUUAUAGUAGAGUGGUUCACGAAAAUGUACAAUUUACGAUUGACAAUGUACGAUUCAUAUUUGAUGAGCGAAACAGUGAUGAGUAAUGUUCCGAAAGUAAUUCUCAGUCGGUACGCGUUUCUCGUCACAACACCGGCAGUGCCAGCGACUCACUCCAUGUACGGGGGCGCGGUUUACUUCUCUCUGAUUUUGAUUGACGGCUGGCAGCGUAGUCUGAUUGGCAACUGAGUGAAGAACGAAUGUGAUUGGUGGAAAGCUGCACAGCACAUGCAGAAUCACAUGCAGUGCAUCUCAGUCAGCUACCCUUGAAAUCAAAUGAGUUUAGGCUCUGCAAUGUGACUAUCAUGCACACGUACAUCGCGAUGACGAUGCUCAAACGAUAUAUCCUGCAGCCCUAGUUUAUACACCAUGAUUCAGUGGUCUUUUCAAAAAACAAAAUAAAACAAUAAAAGCCAACAUAAUUCUUAAUUUGGUGCAAUACCUCCAGUUUCAUCCCUCUGCCUACCGAAUAUUAUAUUUUUAUAGAUUUUUUAAAAUUUCAUCAAGUCUGAGCAUCGCUUCAGGUCCAGCUGUAACCUGUUCAAUAUAAGAACACCACAUUGUGAACUGCUAAAACUUUUCAUUGUUGUGCGUAACCUUUGAAUUAUGAAAUUAAAGUUGUGAACCCCAGUCUCGAACUUAGAAAUGUUUUUGGAUCGCCUGUGUUAAGGCACGAUUUUUGGCUCUGGAAAGGAUUUGUGUUGUUCAUGAUUUUUACCAGGUUUGACCUCAGAAACAGUAGAGUGGUGUGUUCUAGAUACCCAGCCUUGUGAAUGAUUCUUACUGCUAUUUUUGUAACAUGAUAACUAAGAGCUGAAAAGUCUGAUGUUUGUUUUGGAAAAAAAAAAAAAAACUUUAAUCUUAUUCAUAUUAAGUGGCACUAAUAAAAUAUUUAAGUAUCUUCAAAUAUAAACACAUCCUGGAUCUCAGUCCAUGCUGAUGCACACACUCACAGGCAUACAGAGAGACACUUAUUUAUUCAUACGCAUGCGGACACACACUCACUUAUAAAUAGAUGUCACUUCUUGCAUGUGAGCGGUUAGGAACAAAAGAGGUGAUGUGAUGCAGGGGGAUGAAAAAAGCAAUUAUUCUGUGCAGGGCUCUGUACCUGGGGUUAGAGCCUCGCCUCUGGAGUAAAUAAGUCACUGCAAGAGUGUGCGCUCACGUCGCACAUCUAAGGAAGGCUUACACACACACACAUACAGACGCAUGCAGACAUACACACACUUGUGCACAUUUUCCCAGGAGCAGGCGCAGGCACACAAAUUCAAUCUUGCAUCUUGCUACAAAUGCAGAACACACACAUGUAUGCUCUUUCCCACACACACACACACACACACACACACACACACACACACACACUUUCCAUCUUGCAUCCUGUCACAUGAAUAGCCUCUGCUCUCCAGUAAUGAAGCCCUGUGUGUUGCGUUCACGUUUGGCCACUGAGCCAAUAACACUGAAGCUGCAGCAAAGAACCCCCCUCUGCUCUCCUACACCCUUAUACCCCCCUCCACCCCUCACCCUUUCCUCUUUUACUCCUCAUUUUUUUCUCGCCUUGCUCCCACACUCCAACCUUCUAAAGCCUUGAUAAGAAAUGUCCUCUUCUAAGAGAGAGAGAGAGUUUGAGAGAAAGACGGCGUGAAGAGGGAGCAAUUGUGUACUUGUCAGCGAAUAAACGGGAGACUCUGAUAUAAAUCUUAAUGUCCUAUUUAAGGCUUUUCUUCAUCAUGGGCCUGAUUUAUUAGCAGGGCUUCCCCUUCAAUUCAUCAAAAUAAGCUAUGAGCUCACAGUUGUGGCCGGCAGGGCAAAUUAAAGCAAACAACAGUCUGAGGGGGAAGAGGUGAUGGAGAGGAGGGGUUGUCAUAGAGGGAGAUAUACACGCAUAUAUAUUCACAUGUCCCCUACUCUUUCUUUGCCUCUUUCUGUCUCCAUUACUCUUUGAAUGGCAGUGAGGCCAGCUGUAGUGGAGGCCUGGGGUCUUUAUCCAGGACAGAGACAGACAGAGACAGAAGAGGAAAGAGACAGAUGACACUUCUAAGACACCAGGGAGUGCUUUGUGUAAAAGCUGGAUAAAUUUGUUUAGGGAUCUUCGGUGUAGCGGUUGGAAAGUAGAGGGAUCUGAAAUCCACUCAAUUAGUCUUGUGUGUGCACUGCUGAGGAGAGUGUAUGUGUGAAAGCAGGGGAGGGAAUUCAUUUAAAUUGAUGUGUGUGCAGGUGAGUGUCAAUUUAUUCUAUCUCAAAGGUGGUCGUGUAUUUAGUUUGUACACUAUGCUCACAUACGGCGUGUUUAAAUUAGACAGCGAGAUUUAAAAAAAAGAGAAACCUCGGUGUGUUUUCAUUCCCACAACAUUAACAAUUUGUCACAUUUGUAGUUAAUUCUUGUCAUCGUGUUUGGAUCUGUUAUUUCAAUUCCCAGAGAUUACAUAUUCAAUAAAGGAGUAGUUUAUUUCUUUAGGUGUAGUUGAUGGUGAAACUUGUCAAAAGUAAGUGUAAAAUCACAGGAUAUACGAAUGAGUUUUGCCCUUUUGUUGCACACAGAGGCAGAGUCACACUUAAAUAGUUUAGAAAUAUGUGCAGCUUCACCAAGAUCAGUGUCUAGGUAAGAAUCUCUUACAUUUAGAGUUGACCCCAUCUGCAGUAGUCAGUGGUCUAACUUUUGCUUGUUCUCCAGCAGAAAGGGCCAAGCUCCUCUGUGGGUAAUGAACUUACUAUUGACAAGUACCUCUUACAACGCUGCAUCAAAAACACUAAUCUAUCCAUUAAAGGAAAGGGUGAUAUCAUUGGAUACUCUUUGGGUUAGGGCUGGGCGAUAAACUGAAAAUUUACUGAUACUGAAAUUUACGACAAUAACUGACGUCAUUUUGCUCAUGUCAUUAUAUUUGGUGUCAAAGAAACAAACAAAUAAAAGUUGGUUUUGGAUGUGUGUAGGUAGGCUAUGGUCUCAUGUCCCUUUAAGAUGCUGUCCGACGUCAGGGACGUGAUUCCACCCCAUCCAGUCCGUAAAGAGGGAAAGACAGGUGAGGAGAUGGAGGACGGUUCAAAAGUUGUAGCGACUGGAGCGGCAGCUGAAGUAGACAAAGUUAAUAUGGGAGGGGGGUAGCGGCUUGUGGAGUAAUUAUCAUCCAUUUAUCGUUAUCAAGGUGAACUGCUCUAUAUAUUGUGAUAUUGAUUUUAGGCCAUAUUGCCCAGCCCUACUUUGGGUGCAUAAUCAAAUCAACCAUGACUUACAAAUACAUGUUCCAAGCUCAUUCAGAUCAGAACCAUUUGGACAUGUGCAGAGUUGUCUAAUUUUGCUAAAACAACCAGAGAAGAAGAAGAGUUGUAUUUACAACUGUGCUUUCAACAAACCAACAAAUGCAGUAGUAGCUCACUUCAUCCGAUUCAGGAUUUUUCCCUCCACUCAGAAUGGACCUGAGCCAGGUUCUGAGAGCGGUUGUAUUACUCCUCGCCUGUGUUACAUGAGGAGACUGUGUCCAGCAAGAAAGUUGUGUCAGAAACGGACCGAUUGCUCUUGAAUCCGGCCAUGUUUACAUCUAGUCACUAAUGGUGGAAAUGCGUCAUGUUGACGUAGGUUACACACGUGCAGUCAGGUUAGUUUUGCCCCAACACACAGUCAUGAUGGGAAUAAGUGUUUACAUGGACGUGUUUCAGAAAAAGUAAUCGGUAUAAACCACCCCUCUCCAUCGCAAUGCAAUUUCUUUCAGAUUGAGCUGAAUCGGAUCAGAAUCUUUUGAUCAACAUGUUUACAUGACGCAAUUUUUAUUCCGAUCAGGCCUUUAUUCCGAUUAUUCGUGCCCAUGUAAAAGCAGCUAAUGUUGUGUCAUUUAUGUCUUUGAGCACCAGUUAAAAAUGCUCAUGUACUUUGUUUUGGGAUGCAUUCUCGGCCAUUUUCUUUGGUGGAUGUAUUGCAUGUGCAGCUUUUUUUUCAUUAUGUCUAUAUACAGACUAGAGCUUGAGCUCCAGGGAAAUUUACCCCCCUUACAUCUACUAAAACCAGAAUGACACCCCUUUCAAAGCAGAUCGAUACGCCGUAGAUCCAGACAUUUCCUCUGAGGAGGCCUGUCUUUUUCUGUAGGUGUACAUGUGAGAGUGUUUGUCAAGGAACUUCACACCCGACAACUGGGAUCAAAUAACAAGAAUUAAAAGGUUGUAACAAAUGAAGUAAAAGGAGACUUGGGGAUGAGAGACGGCUGCAGAGAGGAAGGAGAAAGAGAGACUGAAAAAUGGAUAAAGGAGCAGCAGAUUUGUCUCUUUUUGGAGUUUGUUGUGUAGCAAGUACAGACACACUUUCUCUGAUAUCCUUGAGGGUUUUAUCCUGCAGCCACUUGCAACAACUAUUGUAGUUGUGAGAAAACAAAACAUUCAUAGGGUUUAAACUAUACUUAAUGUCAUUCUGAUGAGAUCCCAGCAACAAAAUAGCAUUUUAAAAAUAAAUUCAAAUUAUAUUUACAUCAUUUUAAACUCUGAUAUUUAUGAGAUGGUCAAGGGAUUCGGUGCUAAUUGCUUGUGAGAUAUCAGGAGUAAAAUGCCCCAUGGCAAUAAAGAGAGUCAAAAUAUUAUACUUAAGCAAACAAGCUUGAAGGCAGACAUGUGACAAAAAUUUCUAAAUGAACUUAUUCAUGACUGGAAACAAAAAAGAGACUGAUAAAUAUUCAAGUAAUUCAAAAUCACAUUAUCAACAAAAGUGCAGAAUAUGCAAUAAGCAGAGGGAAUAUGUACACCACAGAGACAAAAACAAACUGGUACAAAUGUGAACUCAGCAUGUGUGUUACCUUAGGCUGGCUAAAAUUCUCUUGACAAACCCCAACACAUCCUCCAUGAAAUUAUGUUAAACUCUAAUUCACAUCAUUUCAGUAAGAAAAAUUGAAUAAUAGCAUGUCAACAACACUUUAAGAACAUAGAAAAGCUGGUAGCAGGAGUGCCAAAUUUUUUUUCCACAUUUCCCAGCCUCUGCCAGAAUUACUGAAUACAUUUGGUCAAGUUGGAUGGGGGUAUCGGAUUAUAUCUUCUCUAUUUAUUUUAUUUCAAAUAUUUGUAAAGUCUUGUAUCACAUCCCUGAUAUGGAUCUUGUAGUAUCCAUCACCUUUAAUGUUCCUCCUUCUGGGACGGUUGUGAUUUCAUCAGCCGUGAUUUCCCCAUGGAUGAGACGCAGCAUCGACUUAACCAAGCGGUCAAUCAGCCAUGAGCUGACUGAUCACCAUCCAAUGGUGAGAGGCCAGAUGAGGUCAUCGUCCUUGUGACUCCUGUCACCCUUGACCCUGCACUUUUGACCUCUAGGUCCGGUCUGGCGGGAGUCUGGCGUGGGGACGCCCGGCAAAUCAAUCGCAAGGAGGGGUUGUAAUAAAACAAGUGCUCCCAAGGGGGAAACCCAAACAAACCAGCAGUGUCCAGAACGGCAAGACAGCCUGUCAAUCAACCACUUUAGGCUGUUAUAGUGUCAUUCAUUUUACAAGCUUGUUUGUUUCAGUGAGCUGUGACAGGAACUAGAUUUGAACAGAGUCAAACAAUUAUGUGGUGGUAAUGACCUGACGCGUUUCUCCCACCGACUGUCUGAUCCUGAGACUGUGUCUUUAAUGAAUAAUCUUUGUUACGACUUGACAAAAAUGUUUGCUGAUCAUACCAAAAGCUUUAGAAUUAAACUGUGAUUAUAAACAUGGAGGAUUUAUUCAUGAUUUUCCAUCAGUAGCCAAAGGCACAGGUUUAACUUAUAAAAUCAAGGUGGUUACACCAAAGUCUGGACAAAGGUGCAAUUACGCAUAUUCAUGUAAUCUAAUGUUGCGUUCCAGUUGUACUCGGAAGUUGGACUUUCCAAGCUUUGAGUCUGAAAUUCAUCUGGAAUGCCCCCCUGAAGUCAGAUAUCCGACUCGGAAAGUCAGAUGAUCCUCACCAACCCCGACUUGACGACAACGCCAUAAUCCAAGAUGGCAGCGCAGUGCAUUAACAGUAAAGAGUAACAGUGAAAGCUCUUGUUUUAGUGAAAUUAAAUAAGUGGUAUAUGUUGGACCGCCCAACGUCUAACUGUGAACACGGUGCUAUGGUGUUUGUAAGAAUAAAAUACUGUAAUGUGUGUUGUUUACAACUGGUAUAGCUAACAACAGCUGACAAUUGUAAACAACAGAUAACAACGGCUAACAGUAGGCAUCCAUCUUAGUUUUCCGCCUUGUUUACUGGAAUGCCGUCAACUCGGGUGUAGCGUCAUUCCCAGCGCCGACAUCUGACUUUCGAGAUAACUGGAACGCAGCAUAAAAACAACAAACCAUGCUUAAACCGCCCAUGGUGAGUUUCUGCAAAAAGCCAAAAGUGCCAACACACUACAAAAGCCACAGUUAUAUGUUUUAUAACAGCUUUGCUACAAUGAAAGUUUUUGCAUUUAUUUGUACCUUUGCUGUACUCAUCUUUCAUUCUUAAGUUGAGUACUUCCAGCACAUCAAGCCUCUAAAUCACCAGCCCGACUCUUCUCUUCUGUUGUCCUUAAAUGGUGGAAUAAAUUAUCCAACUCCAUUCGAACAACAGAGUCCCUUUCUACUUUCAAAAGACAGAUAAAGACUCAGCUCUUAAGAAAACACUCUGCACUUAGCUAGAUGAGUCUCCGCUGUUGUCCCCGGUGGUUGAAUGAGUCUUCCAACUACAAUUGGCUCGCACUGUCCUGCUCUGCUCCUGGGAUGCUUGCUUGCAGACAGGAACGAGGGUGGUUUGUUGAUUUGACAGACAUUUCAUGCUGCAUUGUUGACUCAACUUUACACAAGUUUCACCAAAGGACAAGCAGGAUAAAGUCCAGGUUAGGGCUGGGCGAUAAACCAAAAAUGUACAGAUACCGAAAUUUACGAAAAAACCAACAUCCUUUUGCCUGUAUCGGUACAUUUGGUGUCAAAAGAAUAAAAAAAUAAAAGUUGGUUUUGGAUGUGUGUAUGUAGGCAAUGGUCUCAUGUCUUUUGAAGACGCUGUCUUAUGUCAGGGACGUGACUCCUACCCAUCCAGUCUGUAACAAAGAGGGAAAGACAGGUGAGGAGAUGGAGGACGGUUUAAAAGUUGUAGCGGCUGAAGUAGACGAAGUUAAUGUGGGAGGGGGUGAGCAGCUUGUGGAGUAGUUAUCGUCCAUUUGAGGUGAACUGCUCAAUAUAUUGUGAUAUUGAUAUGAGGCCAUAUCGCCCAGCCCUAACGUACAUGUCCUAUUGUGAGACCCUGUGAUUUCCAAGAAAAGGGAAACACAAACAGUAUGGUAGUAUUUGACAAUCAAAAUUAAAUCAAUGAUAAAACACAGAAUAUUGGAGGGUUUGAUAGAAUGUGAAUGUGCUUUUUAAAAAAAAUCUGGGCUUUCCUCGCCCGGCCCUAGUCCAGGUUGUAGGGGUAAAAAUUUGGGCCAUUCACAUAGACGCUUUUGGCUUUUUUUUUAAGUUUUGUUUUAAGAAUCAUGAAUUCAAAAAAGUGACUCGGAGGGUAACUAGGGGCCAUGAAAGUCUGAAUCUGAUUUCUGAAAAUGAAAGUGAUGGGGUAGGAUUGUGAUAUCAACAUUUAGUUGAACACAGCUCUUCUAUAAUUUGUAUCCAUAUUGUAUUUGGCUUGAUGCCCUUGUGUACACUUGACAGAUGCAUGAGUGGUUCAACACAUGGAAUUGUGUUUAGGGACUGACUACCAGACUGAAACUGUACGCUCGGCUUACAACGGCAAAUCACAGCAGACUUUUUCCCCCUGCAUGCUCCCCUCUCCUAUCAGACAACUGUUUCCAGGCAGAUUUAGUUUCACACGGCCAGUCUCUCUGUUCCUCACUCCAGUCUUUCGUUUUAACUAAAAAAAAAAAAAAAAAGAAAGAAAAAAAACGGUCCAGCCUUUUCUCUUUUCUCCCCAUCUCUCCUGAUCAAACCUGGGGUCCAACCUUCCAGCCCAUCUUCUUUUUCUAUCUGACCAUCUCUCCAUUCAUCUUUCUUUUAUCUCUGUCUCAUCCAGGUCUCUGGUGGGAGCAGAGAGGUGACAGGCGUGUGUCUGCCUGGCCCUGCUGUCUGCUUUUCUAAUGAGCCUGAAACACGGGGGGUCAGCCUAUUAUGGAGAUGAGGUGAUUCUGACGGGCCAAAAGGUGAUGGACCUCGCUAAUAGGGGCCCUUUCUGUUCCCUUUUCCCCUCCUUCCCACCUUUCCUCUCAUUUUCCUCUCCUCCUUGCUCGAGCUCAUUCCUCCUCCCUUUCCUCCAUCUUCAAGUUUAUUCUAUCCUGCGAGGUCUAACGAAGGGUCUUGUAUGCUAAACAGGAGCUGUGGCCUCCUGCUCGUCCUUUUCUUCCCCCUCCUCAUUUUUUCCCCUUCUCUCUUCAUCUUUUCAUCCUGGGGUUGUUUGAAGUUUCUCCCCCUCGUCGACCGCUCGGUUCAAUCAUCUCUCUCGGCCCAGGGCCACCUCUGUUUGUCUGCUCAGCCACUGUGGGGUCUCUUUUUGUAGUCAGGCCCUGUGCUGAAGCCCUCUACUGAUUCCUUCAGCAGAACAGCAUGUGUACGUGUGGUUGUGUGUGUGUGUGUGUCUGCAUGUAUGUUUUUGUGUUUGUGUGAAGUGAAUUUCUCCAGCCUCUCUUCAAUCACAUGCAGCCCUUCUUCCUCCUUCUCUGUGGCCGGGCCUGAGUCUGCCGGGUUGGCUUUGAAAUGCAGCCAAAGCUCCGCCACAGAAGAGCGAAAAAAGCCCAGAAAACAGGGUUUGUAAGUGUGUGUUUUUGAAGCACACAUAUGCACACACAACUACGGGAGAGCACUCUUUGUAUC
rnacentral:lncRNA from 1 species